rnacentral:lncRNA from 1 species
AGCUUCAUGUUUUUAAUUGAGUUUGUUGAUUUGGUCUUCUUUGUGUUUGAUUUACAGGUGAAGGAGACAAGCAGAGGAUUUGAAUUGGUUGAUGGGAAGCUAUCCUACGUGGUUCAUAUGAGUACAACCACUAAUCAUCUUCAACCUCAUCUCAAAGCCACUCUCGAAAAGCUUUGAAUCCCCUGCAAUUCUUCUCACAAACAAACUUACGCUUGUUACCAACCAUUUUGAUUUGAUACUCUUUUUUGUGAGCUUAACGGGCCUUUCUAAAUAUCAGUUGAAAGGCCCAUUAAGCAUAAUGUGAUUCUAAUGUAUUUCGUUAAGCCCAUAUGAUUAUACUUUUCUCUCUGCGCUUUUUUUAGUGCCUCUACCUUUUGAUCUCAAGACUUUAAGAAUGGAAAUUACUGUUGUUUAAAAAAAAAAAAUGGAGAUUACUCAAACAUAGUCUUCAGUUUAUAAAAACUUACAAGAAUAACAACAAAGUUAAAUAUAAAUCUAUACUGAUGAAGUCCUAAUCAACGAAGAUAAUUUAUCACAGCUAUUUUUUUAUUGAUCAAAGCUAUUUAUAUUUAUUGGUCAAUUUCCAUAUGCAAUCUUAUUAACUUGGUAUUCAUACGUAAUCAAUCACAUAUAAAGACAGAAACUCAAUCAAUACAUACAUACAAAAUCAUAUAGGUGCGAAGCAGACACGUUUAGGCCACGGCAAAUACAAAACGUGGCGCCGUGUAACCCUAUUGCGCUCCAUGGAUUUGAAUUAUUGUAUUUACAUAGUUACAUAAGAUUUUUAUUUAUUUGGCUUCUUAUGCGAUGUUUGACAAAUAUUUGCUUGAUCAUGAAACAAUAUCUGCUUCGGAUAUAAUACUAAUGGAUAUAACACUUUUUAUUUUCUAAAAUAAGUAAUGUAAGGUGACGCAAAAUUUACUUAUUAGUCGCAAUCAACCGAAGAGAAGUUAGGAGUUCAUUCUUGAAGUUGUAGGGGUGGUAAAUCUUAGGGAGUUGUGAUAUCCACCUAUUUUGUGGACACUAUUUUAAAUGAUAAUAAUGAAAUAGUUCUGGAUUUUGGUGGGGAGCGUAUCAAUAUUGAAUGGAUACAGUCAUGUAUACGAAUGGGCCAGUUGACACCUAUUCUAAUGAUACAAAAGAAAAUUAAGCUUGCAAUAAUGGAACCACACCAAAGGCAAGAGAUCUUGAUCUACAAUCUUUGAAUGACAUUCUUCAAAAAAAUCCAAACAACAAUUGUUGCGUAUAUGAAUUCUUCAUAUUUUGUUUGUAAACAUCGAUGAUACAUAACUAAUUUUAUUGUUCUGACAAAGGGUGAUACAUAACUAAGUAAAAUAUAUAGGCAAAGGAAAAAUCUAUAUACUACAUACCGUUUGUCUAUUUAUAUGUUUUAAUCUACGUACCGUUGAUAAAUAUAUCAAAACAGUUAUUACAAAUCUGAAAUUUCUUCAAAUAUACUAUGUUUGUUCAUAUUUUUUCAUUCAAGAUUAUAUUAAAAUUUGUUAACACAAAAACAAUUAAGAAUUAAUCAUAUACAUAAUUCAGAAGUACCAAAAAGAAUUGAAAAAUUGCCACAAAUAUUACAUUCAUAGUACCAUUUUUCAUGUUUACACUAAUCAUUUUUACUAUCACUUUUAAUACAAAUAAUAAAGACACUUAUAUCCUUAAGAUUAGCUAAUUUAGACUUAGAGUUUAGAGUUGAGGGAUGAGGUGGAGUUUUUGGAAUGUGAAAUUUAGGAUUCUAACAAAUAUAUAAAUAAAUACUUAAACUAUAUAUAUUUUUAAAAAAAUAGUUUCAAAAAUAAUUCAAAAAAUAAAAUUCAAUUUUUUUUUUAAAAAAAGUUCAAAUUUGAAAAAGUAUAAUUCGAAACAUAAAAAAAUUUGUUAUUUUUAUUUAUUUAUUUUAUCAUAAAUAAAACAAACCUUAUUUUUAAUAUCUUAGAUAAAAUAAAGUAUUUACGUCUUUGAAAAAUUAAGAAGAUUAUUAAAUAUAUUUUGAUUUUGUAACAAUGGUAUACAUAAAAAUAAUACCAAACUUUCAAAAGUUAUAGAUUUAAUAUAAGUUGUUUGUGUCAUAAUAAAAAAUAUUUUUGAUAUCAUAAGCUAAAAAACUGAAAAACUAAUGUCAAAAUAUUUUAAUUGAUAAAUUAAGAAGGAGAAAUAGAAAAGAUGUUUAAGAAAAUAUUUGAUUUUUUUGUAUACUAACAUUUGAAGUUUUAGGAUGUGAUAUACAGUAAAAAUCUAUAAGUUAAUAAUGUUGAGACUACAACAUUUUAUUAAUUUAUAGAGUUACUUUUAAGAAAAAGUUAUUUUAAAGAUUUUAGCAUAUAUACUUAUAUUAAUUAAAUUUUAGAAAAUAAAUUAUUAUUAUUUGUAUUAUAUUAUUUGGUGAAUAUGAAAUAUGUUUCAUAAAUUUAUUUUUUUAAAAUUAUUAUUUUACUAAAUACUAUACGGAAUAUAUUGAACCGUUAAGAAACAAACAUAUAUGAAUUCUACUGUAAAUUAAAGGUUUUAGGUUUUUUGCGGGUUACCCUAAUGAUACCGGGCUUUUUUAGUUUAGGGUAUUUAUUGGGCGGGUUUAAUUCGGGUUCGGGCCGGGUAAUUUUGCCCAUUACAACAUCCCUGCAUAUACUAAAACAACAGGUGCUUACGCGAGUGAGAUCCACACUCCACUUGGGACUAGAGUCCAUAGAUCAGAGAGAUUCAAGAACAAGAAAAACCGACGAGACCAAUGGCGACGGAAACGCCGCCGGUACAUCCCUUCGUGGCACCGUUAUCGUAUCUAUUGGGAACAUGGAGAGGGCAAGGCGAAGGUGAGUAUCCAACGAUACCUUCCUUCCGCUACGGCGAAGAGAUCCGUUUCUCACAUUCCGGCAAGGUAACCAUCAGUCCUCACCUCCUUCGUUUCCUCGAUUCGAUCGUCUCCUAAUUGCGUUGACUUUAUGUCUUAUUACCUUUCUUCUUAAAUCGAACUGUUGUUGUUGUUGUAUAGCCGGUGAUAGCUUACACGCAGAAGACAUGGAAGUUGGAAACAGGAGACCCGAUGCACGCAGAGAGCGGUUACUUUCGUCCGAAGCCAGACGGUUCCAUUGAAGUCGUUAUAGCUCAGAGCUCAGGUCUCGUCGAGGUCCAGGUAAAAGACCUAACUACCCUUACAUCUAAUAAACAAACUUAUAUAUCUUCUGAUUAUAAUUGAUUUUCAGAAAGGAGCUUACAAUGUCGAUAAGCAAACGAUAACACUCAACAGUGAGCUUAUUGGAAACGCAUCCAAGGUUAUAAGACAUGAUCCUCUCUGCGACAAACAGCUUCAUGUUUUUAAUUGAGUUUGUUGAUUUGGUCUUCUUUGUGUUUGAUUUACAGGUGAAGGAGACAAGCAGAGGAUUUGAAUUGGUUGAUGGGAAGCUAUCCUACGUGGUUCAUAUGAGUACAACCACUAAUCAUCUUCAACCUCAUCUCAAAGCCACUCUCGAAAAGCUUUGAAUCCCCUGCAAUUCUUCUCACAAACAAACUUACGCUUGUUACCAACCAUUUUGAUUUGAUACUCUUUUUUGUGAGCUUAACGGGCCUUUCUAAAUAUCAGUUGAAAGGCCCAUUAAGCAUAAUGUGAUUCUAAUGUAUUUCGUUAAGCCCAUAUGAUUAUACUUUUCUCUCUGCGCUUUUUUUAGUGCCUCUACCUUUUGAUCUCAAGACUUUAAGAAUGGAAAUUACUGUUGUUUAAAAAAAAAAAAUGGAGAUUACUCAAACAUAGUCUUCAGUUUAUAAAAACUUACAAGAAUAACAACAAAGUUAAAUAUAAAUCUAUACUGAUGAAGUCCUAAUCAACGAAGAUAAUUUAUCACAGCUAUUUUUUUAUUGAUCAAAGCUAUUUAUAUUUAUUGGUCAAUUUCCAUAUGCAAUCUUAUUAACUUGGUAUUCAUACGUAAUCAAUCACAUAUAAAGACAGAAACUCAAUCAAUACAUACAUACAAAAUCAUAUAGGUGCGAAGCAGACACGUUUAGGCCACGGCAAAUACAAAACGUGGCGCCGUGUAACCCUAUUGCGCUCCAUGGAUUUGAAUUAUUGUAUUUACAUAGUUACAUAAGAUUUUUAUUUAUUUGGCUUCUUAUGCGAUGUUUGACAAAUAUUUGCUUGAUCAUGAAACAAUAUCUGCUUCGGAUAUAAUACUAAUGGAUAUAACACUUUUUAUUUUCUAAAAUAAGUAAUGUAAGGUGACGCAAAAUUUACUUAUUAGUCGCAAUCAACCGAAGAGAAGUUAGGAGUUCAUUCUUGAAGUUGUAGGGGUGGUAAAUCUUAGGGAGUUGUGAUAUCCACCUAUUUUGUGGACACUAUUUUAAAUGAUAAUAAUGAAAUAGUUCUGGAUUUUGGUGGGGAGCGUAUCAAUAUUGAAUGGAUACAGUCAUGUAUACGAAUGGGCCAGUUGACACCUAUUCUAAUGAUACAAAAGAAAAUUAAGCUUGCAAUAAUGGAACCACACCAAAGGCAAGAGAUCUUGAUCUACAAUCUUUGAAUGACAUUCUUCAAAAAAAUCCAAACAACAAUUGUUGCGUAUAUGAAUUCUUCAUAUUUUGUUUGUAAACAUCGAUGAUACAUAACUAAUUUUAUUGUUCUGACAAAGGGUGAUACAUAACUAAGUAAAAUAUAUAGGCAAAGGAAAAAUCUAUAUACUACAUACCGUUUGUCUAUUUAUAUGUUUUAAUCUACGUACCGUUGAUAAAUAUAUCAAAACAGUUAUUACAAAUCUGAAAUUUCUUCAAAUAUACUAUGUUUGUUCAUAUUUUUUCAUUCAAGAUUAUAUUAAAAUUUGUUAACACAAAAACAAUUAAGAAUUAAUCAUAUACAUAAUUCAGAAGUACCAAAAAGAAUUGAAAAAUUGCCACAAAUAUUACAUUCAUAGUACCAUUUUUCAUGUUUACACUAAUCAUUUUUACUAUCACUUUUAAUACAAAUAAUAAAGACACUUAUAUCCUUAAGAUUAGCUAAUUUAGACUUAGAGUUUAGAGUUGAGGGAUGAGGUGGAGUUUUUGGAAUGUGAAAUUUAGGAUUCUAACAAAUAUAUAAAUAAAUACUUAAACUAUAUAUAUUUUUAAAAAAAUAGUUUCAAAAAUAAUUCAAAAAAUAAAAUUCAAUUUUUUUUUUAAAAAAAGUUCAAAUUUGAAAAAGUAUAAUUCGAAACAUAAAAAAAUUUGUUAUUUUUAUUUAUUUAUUUUAUAUUUUAUUUAUUUAAAUAAUAAUUUAUUAUAUAUAUAAAUAACAAAAUUAUAAGAGUCUUUUGUUAUUUAAUGAAGAAAAUAUUUUUGAAAAAAUAUUUUUAGUGAUGGUAAUAACAAAAAUUGAUAUCAUAAAAGUGAUAAACAUAAAAAAUUUCCAAAAGAAUGCAAAAGUUUAUGAAUAUAAAUAUACCAUUUCGUGAACAGAAAAAGUGAAGCAUUUUUGUGAUUUUUUAAUUAUUUGUAGUAUCUUUUUGAAGAAUAAUAAUAAUCUUAUUUGUGGUAUCGCUCGGAUUGAAAGAUAUAUGGAGAGACCGAGAGAGAGAGAGAGAGACAGUGUCAAAUCCAUUGUUUUCAACUAUCUAAUAUUAUAUUCUUUCUCUUUUUUUUUUUUUUUCCAAAACCAUAUUCUAUGCAUUUUAUCAUUUUCCCGACCAUGAGAAUUGGUCCUAACUUUUUUUCCAUAGAAUAUAUAUUCAUAUGGAAGAUAAUUAAAUUAAUGUUGUUAGCUGAUGCCAAAUUAUUAUUCUUUUUUUUUAUAACCUUUUGGAGAGCACUUUGAAAUUAUUAUAUUUAAAAGAGCACUUUGAAGAGAGUUGAGUAAUAAGAAUACCCUAGAUUCCUUUUGAGACACUUUUUUUUUGCAUAUAUUCCCUAAAUUCCAGAUAGAAAAAUUGGCAAUAAAACAUGUUUUAACUUCGUCUAUAGCCUGUUGACAAAAAAAAAAAAAACUUCGUCUAUAGCCUAAUCGAACGGCCAGUGUUCUCAAAUUCCAUGACGUGAACAAUUGUUGACCAUCCAUCCAUCUGUACCUCUUCCCAACCUCUUUGUUUUAAUUUUAACUAUAUAUUCCAACUAAAAUAAAUAAGAAGAGAACAAAGAAAUAUAAAAAAUAGAGAAAAAAGGAAAAAAAGACCUCUGUUCUUAUUUCUUCUUCAUCAACCACUACCCUUCUCUCUAUAACUCAUCAUAUCUCUGUUUUUCUCUGUUCCGUAUCUGUACUUUGUUUUCAGGUAAAAAAGAUUAUCUUAUCAUUUUUUUCACACACACACACACACACACACACGUGUGAACGUAUGUUGUUCUUAUAAUCUUAUGAGUCUUUUAACUUUUGCGCUUGGCCUUUAUCUGAAUUCUUUGUAUAUAUAAUAUGUGUGUUUAGUGCUCUGUUUCUUGUGAUUAGACUCAGCAGUCUUAUCUUCAAAAAGAAGAAAAUAAAAAAAGUAUAUAUCGUUCACGUCUAGUAGUAAGCUUUUUUUUCAGUACGACUAAGUAUUCAGACAUCUGCUCACGUUGCUAAUGUUUGUGUCUGUUCUAUACUUACAUAUAUUCUGUCUAUUGAUUGGUUUCUUGGAAGAUUUCUCAGAGAACGUUUGUUUAUAUGUUUCAGUCACUGAAGAUAUGGUGAAGAGCCUUAAAGUGGAUCCUCUUGCUAAGGUCACUGCCUCCACCACUUCCAUGGUAAAACAUUUUUUUUAUCUUCUUUUGUGUAAUCUCUUGAGAACAUUAUCUCUCUCUCUGUUAAUUAACAUUAUAUGUCUUUUUGUACUUGUUUGUUUGGUUUUGUGUGGUAUAGAAGAGCCCAUCAGAGCCAUAUUAUGAAAUUCUUGAGACGUAUCAAGGCCUGCCUUGUCCAUAUGGUGGCUACUAUGGAUUCUACUAUUCAGGUCUUGAUGGUUCAGUUGGAGAAGCAAAGGAUAAUGGAUACUAUGGUUAUGGAACAGAAGUUCAGUACCCGGUAACUAAUAAGUUUCUUGUGAAUCAAGGAUUAAUUUACUCGAUGAAUCAAGCUUUUUAAUUGAUCAUUUUCUUGAUCUUGAUUUGAAGGUUAUGCAAAGGGAAGAUGGAUCUUUAAUCUACAUGACGCCAGGGUUUCAAUCUUAUGAUGCUAGUCCCACUUUUAUGCCUAUAACCGCGGGUAGUGUGUCAAGUCAGGCUCUUCGUUCACCCAUGUAUGCAGCUCAAGGAUAUUAUCAGAACCAAUAUGGCUAUGGAGAUGUUUCAUCGCCCAACUAUUUAUGGGACCCUAUUGGAGAAAAGUAUGUGUAUGGUGUAGCUUCAAGUACCCAACCUUUGAAACAUAACACAUCUUCUUCCAGUCAUAAUCAUAGCAGUUAUUACCCAAAGAGCAAGACUUCUUAUGGCAUGGGAGAUAGGCCUAAACAACCGCGAAAAGUAACAUCUUUCUCCCUUUGUUGUUGUUCUUCCUUCUCUCUUUCACAUAUACUGAGAAGACUUGACUGAUCUUUUUCUUUGUUGUUUGGUUGGUGAUAUGAAUUACAGAACAGCUAUGCUCCGCUCCCAAUACAUAAUGAAACAGAGAAGGUGAAAGCGAGAAACAAAGAUAAUGUUAAUAGUACUGAAGGAGAAUGUGAGUCCUGUGUAGGUUAUGUGAUCAAAAGGGAUCAGUAUAACCUCCCUAGCUUUCAGACGAAGUAUGAAGAAGCAAUGUUCUUUGUGAUAAAAUCAUAUAGCGAAGACGACAUUCACAAGAGCAUCAAGUACAAUGUUUGGUCUAGUACUCUCAAUGGGAACAAGAAGUUAGACAGUGCAUAUCAAGAAUCUCAAAAGAAGGUUGCAGAGAAAGGUGGAACGUGCCCGGUCUUCCUCUUCUUCUCGGUAAUGCAGCGUAAUCUCUAUGGUUCAUAUUAUAAGAUGCUAUGCAUAAACACACAAAAAUUAAUAAAAUUACUUUUAUCUAAACAUAGCAUUAAAAGAAUAAAUUAAAAAUUGAUGCAAUCAAUCAUAAAAAAAAACUAUAAAAUGUAAAUGGUAUUAGCAGUUUUGAAUAAAGUAAAAGUUAGCAUUAAAAACUAACAUUUUAUAUUUUGAACACCAAAAACCUAUGAAACAUAGAGAGUAUGAUUUAUUCAUUUUUGAGACAUAUCUUGGUGGUCUCUGAUGGGUUUUGUUUGUACUCAGGUGAAUGCAAGUGGUCAGUUUUGUGGUGUAGCUGAGAUGACUGGGAGAGUGGAUUACGAGAAGAGCAUGGAGUUUUGGCAGCAAGAUAAGUGGACUGGCUAUUUUCCUGUCAAGUGGCACAUAAUCAAAGAUGUUCCAAAUCCGCAGUUACGCCAUGUAAUACUAGAGAACAAUGAGAACAAGCCUGUAACAAAUAGUAGAGACACACAAGAGGUAGAAAACAAUCUAUUAGUGGAUCAAGAAGAACUCAUCUCAUUGUGUUUUACCUUCAUGUAUAGGUGAGGUUGCCACAAGGGAAUGAAGUGUUGGACAUCUUCAAGAACUAUGCAGCAAAGACAUCUAUAUUAGAUGAUUUCGAUUUUUAUGAAAACAGAGAGAAGGUUUUGGUUCAGAAGAAGCUAAGGUUACAUCCGGUUCAGAUAAAGGUACUUAUCUCUCUCCUCUUUAGAUCUUUUAAGAAUCCUUUUCUCGUUGUAUGUAUGUUAUUCUCAUGAGGGACAUGGCCUUUCUUUCAAAUGUCUUUGAUUACAGAAGAAAGAAGAAGCAGACUUGGUUGCUGACUUCAAAUCAAUGGAGAUAUCAAAUGCAUUCAAAGAGGAGACACAGACUUAACAGGAACUGUGAACUAACUAGGAGAAGCUGUCGUGUUUUGGUUUGGUUUGGAUUUUAUACAAGUGAGUGGCGUCUUGUUCUAUUGUUUUGCUGUAUUUUGUUUUGCAGUUUGUAAUCACUGGCAAUGUAAGAAUUUGAUUUUUAUAGUGAAACUUGAGAACAAUAAAAAUGCAGAAAAAGGAUUAUAUAUGAAAUGAGUUCUCUACUAUCAUCAGUUUUCUCUUCAAUGUGCCUGCGAAUGAUGGAAACAUAAACAUGGUUCUAAAAACCGGUCUAGGCGGUAACUCAAUCUUAGCUGAAACGAUUUUAUUAAAAUCUAAUUUAUGAUUCAAAUCGAUUUAAACUAAUCUAAAUGGGUUAAAAUCGGUUGCAGUCGGUUUAAAUCGUCUAGUCACUAUUUUUCUACAGAGAGCAUAAUUACAGCCUAACUAUUUCUUGCACAUUGUCUAAAAGAGACUAUGGCUGGCUCGGGGAUUGUCCACCUCCACCACCACGUGAGGUUCGGCCACCACGAGUAAGCGUUCAAUUGCCUCCUCGAACGUUUACCACUCAACCACGACUUCUGAAGGGAACUUGUAAAGGAUCUUUCUUGGUUGCCUGGCAGAGCCUUGCCUUAUGCAUACAAAAUUAGGCAAUUGCCUUGGCCCCCCUCUAGAAUUUUUAAAUUUAGGGGCCCUCUUUUCCCUAUUACUUGGUUUAGUUAGUUAAAUAAAUUACUUUUAAUUUUAUAAUUUAGUUAAUUGUUAUAUCACAUGGGUUUUUUUUGUCAUCAAUUAUUAUAUCACAUGGUAGUUUAUACAAAAAAAAAUUCUUUUAGACAAUCUGUUUGUUUUCAUUGUCUUAUUUAUUAUAACUCAUUUAUAUGCUAAGUUUAUGUAUUUACCUUUUUAGUUAUUUUGUACAUAUAUGUUUUAUAAAAUAUAUUUACAACUCAUUUUAUCUUUUUAUAUUUUUGAAUUAACAAUAUAAAUUAAUAAAUAGAAAGUUUUAUUUAUCAUUAAAUAAAUAUAAAUACUAAUCUUUACUAUUUUAUAUUUAUCUUAUUUUAUUUUCAGUAUAUUAUAUAUAUAUAUUAUUUUAUGAUUAUAAAUUUAUAAUUUUUGGUACAAGUAUAAUUUAUAAAAACGUAUAUAACUUUAUUUUAUAUAAUAAUUAAAAAAAUAUUAAACAUAGAUAAAACUAUAGUAUUUGCCUCAGGCCCCUAAAGUCCUCGCACUGCACUGUUGCCUGGUGAAGGAGCUCAGGCUCUUCCUAGAGUGGCUACUCCAGCUUGUCUUAGAGCUGCUUAAUUGCUCCUUUUCUUUAUCCGCUAUAUGAGUUGUUCUACUUGGCGACGCUGCUUUUUUCAUUUCUUCAGUUUCUGGAGUAGAGUAAUUAAGUGGAUGGAGUGGCAGAUGCUGAGACAGCAUCGGUUCCAGCUACUUGUUAUAUUUUUUUUUUUUUUUUGUAAAUAUCUUUUUUUUUUGGGCAAACAUUGCAUUCAUUAGAGCUAGAGUUUACUCUCCUAAAGCGGAGUUCAUUACAGAGCCAGCGAGAGCAGAUUUUGCCACCAAAUCUAUCUCGGAAUUGAAAUUACGAGAGAUACAACUAAAGGAGAUGACAUCAAAGAGAGUAACAUAGUGAUAGAUAGCAAAGUUUUGUAAAUAUCUAUUUGUUAAUUUUUACCACUGUUGGGUUUAUCAGAGGCUUCUUCAGCAGCUACAUCACCUCCUUCAUCGUUCUAACAUCUUCUAGAGGUGGUUCAAUGGUUGUUUAAGCUUCCUCCAUUGUUGUCUCAACCCUACUAGUGACCGUGUAGCUACAUCCUUAGUUUCUUCAUUGUCACCUUAGGCCUCUUGUUGGGCUUCAGCGAUACUUUAUUAAGUUUACUAGUUAAAUACCCGCGUUACGCCGCGGUAUUUUGUCUAUGUUAAAUUUUUUUAAAAUUUGUUACAUUCAAAUAAUAAUUAUUUAUUUAAACUUAAUGUUAUUAAUACUUUUUGUGAAAAUUGUGAUUAGUAGAUAUCAAUAGAUUUUGGUUUUGUAUUUUAACUUUUAGCAAUUCUUAUUCUUUUUAUUUAAAAUUUCUUAUAUAUUUUUAAUUUGUUGCGCAAGUGAUACUUGUAUUUUUUUUUUUGUUUUAUGCAUGCUAUUAAAGUUUAUUUUAGUUUUGAUUUUUAUUGUUAUUUUGUAUUUUGGGGAAUACUUAUGUUGGCAUAACGAAAACACAUAAUCCGACAUUAGAAACAUAGAGUACUAAAAAAAGAAAUACACACAGAAAAAAACAAAAACAUCUCCUCCGAUUCUAUCCGAGAAUGGAGUUUUUUUUUUGGGUCAAAGAAAGGAGUUAUUAAUGGUAAGCCUCUAGCGACUUGAGCCCAUGAGUUAACGAACUCCAUAGCUCCGAUACCAUCGAACAUACAAUGAUUCAUACAGAGUCGAAGAACAAACCCUCCAUUUAGUCACCUAUUAUAAAAUCCUAACAAAUUAGAUCUCAUCCUAAAAUCCUAAACAACAAAAAGAUUGCUUGAGCAGGAAGAAAAGUAGUAAACCUGAGCAGGAAGAAAAGUAGUAAACCUGAGCAGUAACGGGAGGGACUUCAAGAAUAUUCUUGGUGUCUACAACAUCAUAGACAAGUUUCUCUAGUGUCUCAAGGUCUGGUUUCGUGAUGUCGCCAAUCUCAUCCAUUUUACAGUUUGUUUCAGCUUCCAGAAACACAACUCCAUCUUCAGUAUAGUUCACAGUGAGUUUACCUGAAGUUCACACCAUUAAGGAUAUUUUAGUCUGAGUUAUAGAGGCCAAAACUGGAUCAGUGGUUAUUAAUUGUUUUCAAAAUUACCUACAGGACUUAUGGUGAGACGUCCAUCAAGAGGAUAGUAAUGAAGAAGUACUUGACUCAGAGAUACAGAAGGCUGUCAACACAAGGAAGAUAUGGAACUGUAGCUGAGAAUAGUAGCCAUGACAUUUGUAGGUGAGUUACUUCUCGAGCUGUUUCUGAGUAUCACCUUGGGAACCAAAUAUGAGACUUAGAAAGCUACAAUCAUAGUGCUCUUUAACCUGCAAAAACAUAAGUUCAUACAAUAUCAGCUUCCAAAAACUGAGUUUGUUACAUGGCAAUAAGAAAACAGAAUCCAAAAGAUGUUAAACAGAAACCUUUUAAGAAAAUGACAUGACUGCGGUUUCUAAAGUUAAAGAGAACCUUACCGUAUUUCUACAAAAUCUUUCCGCGUCUGAAGCCAUUGUCUUCACAAGGAGAAUCAUAUACCAUUUGGAGUUUUCUUUAUAGAAGAUAUCCACUUGUAAACCAACUAAACCUACGUCUGUUACUAUACUUCAUUGUCUCUCAUCGGUUCUUAAAAUUUAGAAUCUUCAUAGUCUCUUCUCAUCAAAGUCAUUGCACCUGAACUAUUUCUCAGGCUUACAUGUUUCAUACAAGAUAUUCUUUGAUGGCUUUAUCUGUUCCCAAGGAACAACAUCACCAAGGCUAACCAACAAUAAGAAAAAUAGUACCCAGGUUUUCAGAAUACAAGUUAAUCAAGUAUCUACUGGAACUGAGCAAUGCCAAAUUCACAUAGUGACCAUUAAGAAAUAACACGAUAUAAAUAUGAAGCUUAGGUUACCUUAGUGGAGAUGCUUGAGCAAAAGGAGCUUUCAGCUUUCUUACGUCCAAAAUUUCAGGGCACUGAGAGAUAUAUAGAAAAAAAAAACUAAAGGAUGUAAACAACAUUGUUGUAAGCUGUAUGAAGUAGCAAUACCCUUUACAUGAACCUAAUCAACGUUGUGAAAUUACCUAUCUGGUGCUCCGGCAAUUGUGAUCUCGUCUUUGAGAUACAGUACAGAGGUAAUGCUAGAUGAAGCAGCCUGAACACACAAAGCCAUUAGAGGCGAAGAAAGGAAAAAUAGAUUUGACGGGAGGAGAAAGGAUCAGGAAUAAACCUUGCGACGUCCAAUUUCUUUUGAAAGAGGAGAUAGAUGAGCUCCUUUAACCAUGCCAGUAGAGCUGUUUGAAGUCCAGAACAACAAUCAAUAUGGUUUACAGAAGCCAGAAAAGAUAGUUGCAACUAAGUUUAGACAAAAAGAAUUACUUGAUGCAAAACUCUUCUCUUAAAGAGCUUCUUUUACAUCUUAAAUCCCAUAGCGCAAAACAUCCAUCUCUCGAACCAGAGACAAGAAGAUCUGCAAACACUAAGAGCUAAAGCUAUCCUGACUUAAAAUAUCAACAUAUUUAACACUAACACUCUCUGAUCACACAUACUCACCAAACAAUUUUGCUAGGCUUUUCCGGUGACAGAGGAGGAGAUAGUAACUUCUGUGAAUCGAACCACAGAGAGAGUUCUCAACUGAGGAUGGUACGAUCCGUGAUCCCGAGAUCCGAAACCUAAACUGUUGCUGCAUCUUGGCGAUAUCAUUAACCCAGAACGCCAAAAAUCGACAGUAAAUGUUGAAAUUAACACCAUUCAGAGCGGCUAGGGCUAGAGCUUGGAUUCACAUUACAGCCGAUGGAUCAUAGAUCUUGUCGAUUCGUAUUUUUUUCUAAACCAAGACUGUUAAAAAAAGAAGUUAAACACAAUGGCAAUGACAUGGACAAACAAAAUGGUCUCAUUAGCUUCUCAACUUUUUUCAUUUGAUGACAUGUCAAUCUCUCAGUCAUUUUAAAGUCUGAGGUAUCAUGCUCUGGAAAGAACCUUGCUCUAUUAUUGUGUUGAUUAUUGUGUUGAUUGUUAUAUAUAGUUACAAGUUACAACAUAUUACUCGUUGUGCCAUCUUAGCAGCGCGUGACUUUUAAUCCCAUGGGCGUGGAUUCGAUUACCACAGACGGCGACCAUAACGUUUUCGAGUGAGCCUCAUUUUUGACUAUUGUUACCACUUACUAGUCACCACGUUACAUGGCACCCAAGUGAAUAUUAUCUGUGUUGUGUUAUUGCAAGUGGAAUUUGAAUAAUGCAUAAGCUUUUGUUUUGUUGAUUGACAUUUAUCAAUUAUCAUACAUUCUUUUUUUUUUGUGGUCAAAUAUCAUACAUUCUUUUAAGCUGUUGGUUUAUUUUGGGGUUAUCCUAUAUUUUUCCUGAGUUUUUUUCUGUUAAAAUCUGACUUGUGUCAUAAGAAACCAACUAUUUAUUUGUUGAUAAGGAAUCCGUAACGUGUUGAUAAUACUAACUGAUCAAUGAUAUAACAUGGAAUUGCUCGUGCCUACAAGAGAUGGUGUACACAACAACAACAAGCCAAGCAUUCCCAAUUAUUUAUUUCUCACAAUUAAGAUGCGUAAAAGUCGAAAGACUUAGCGUUCAAGAACAAGCUCUCUCUCUCUCUUCCCUCUCUAACCCGUGAACCUUCAACCCUAAUCAGCUUGCGCCGUCUUCAGCCGGUGGCGGCUCCGGCGGAUUCGCUGCCUCCGUCGCCGGCUGUCUCUCCCUUCUCUAUCCUUUCUUUCUCCUUCCCUGUCUCGUCUCUUUCUCCCUCUUCUUAGCUUCGUCGAUAUACUUUCCGUUGUGGUUUCUCUCACUCCUCUCCGGCGUCGCUGCCCGGUGGUGAAGAUUCUGGAGCGGUGGUGAGGCGCGGCUGGGAGAGUGGAGCUUGGUGGCUCUUCCGUGGGUUUCCUUCGAGGCAUCGCUUAGAUCUGGCCAGAUCUGCUUUCAAUGGUGGUCGAUUUUGCUCCGGUGGUGGUGCUCCGGCCCUCAGUCGUCUCUUCCGGCGUCAGUUUGCGGUUGUUGAUGACAAGUGCCCUCGUUCUCGGUUUGGGGGUUCUCGUUUUUGAGAUUUCUCUUCAGAUCUAUCUUCUUCUCAUUACCAGUGAGAGUUUAUUGUAUCAGGAGUUGAUUUUGAAUCUCAGGCAAGUUCUCAGACAGUGGUGGUGAUUCUCUGCUGGCAGCUCUCCUUGCAGGUUGGUGUAGUGCUCCUUGUGGCUAGAAGGUGUCUCUGUCUAGCUUGUGAGAUAGGGCUGAGCUCUUCUUCUUGGCUAAAUCAGAAGUGGCGGUUUGGUGAAGCGGGUUGUUUGAGCUUCUCUUUGCGGAAAAGGUCAGACUCUGGUUCUCAGGGUCAGUCGCUCGUGCGGGUUAUUGUUGGCUUAGGUAUGUUGUAGUCGACCUUGGACUACAGUCCCGGUGAGGGCGAGUGUUGCUAGCACCUCUGCAGAUAGGGUGUGGUUCCGCGGAUUCUUUGCCCUGUGGUGUUAGCGUCCUUUUUUUUCGUUCAUAGUCUGGUGGUGGUGGCGGGUUAUCAGCCAGUGGUCUAUCCAAAUAAGAGUGGUUUGUGCUCGAAGUUGGGGUGUUGGUGGUUCCAGUGGGGGUCUUUGGGGUUUUUAGAGUUCUCAGGUGCCUGUGAGUUUCAGGAAGGAGGAGUAGAGGUGGCUGUUUUGCGGUGCUUGGUGUCCGGUGCUUCGACAGGCUCUGGUUCGUCGGUUCCGCCGUUUCGGUACGGCCCCAUUGUCGUCUAUUCUGAAUUUCAAGCUCUAGUUGGUAUCUGUGCAGUUGCAGGUGGUAGGACCUUUGUGGUAAGGCCAUUUUUUUUGGAGGCGAGUGCCUGGGGAAGCCAACUAUACCGGCUCGUGACUCAUGUUUUAACUGGCGCCUUCCUUUGGGGUUCGAUCUUGCGUGCUGCUCGCUCUUAGCAACCCUUACAAGUUCUUCCCGUGUGUUCUCUCUUCUACUUCUAGGUUCAGCUCAUUCUCGCGUUUUUCUUACUGUAAUUGUUGUUGUGUUGUAGUUUCUUUUUGGCGUUUGUCUUCUGCUACUAGUGUUUCUCUGUAACUUCUGUCACAAACUUUAAAAUGGUAAUGCAAUCUUAACAUGUUUACCAAAAAAAAAAUAAACUGGACCUGUCAUGGCUUGGUUCUGAUACCAGAAACUAAACCAAGAAAGAAAGAAAAACACUUUCUGGGAAAAAGUCCAAAUUUACAUUAAUUCUUUUCUUUUUGCCAUUUUUGGAUUCUGGUGAUUUUUCAAAAAUAAAGAUCACGAGUGUCACUUGUGCACUCUGUAACCGUUUCAUUUGGUCAAUUCAAUUACAGAAACAAACCAAAAAAGAAGACAGAACAUAACCCAAAAGAUUGAAGUGUUUUGCUUGCUGUCUUCUUCUUCUUCUUCGAUUGAAAAAAUCUAGAGUUUGUUUUCUUUUUUUUUGUAAACUAAAAAUCUAGAGUUUGUUAAGAAAAAAAAAAGAAUGGAUUCUGAGCUUUAUAUCGUUGAUGGGUCUUCAUCUUCUUCCUCAUUUUGCCACCAUUCAAGUAGUACUGAACCAGAUAUGUUUUCUUCCGACACAACAACAACAACAACAACAACAGAUCUCUUCUGCAACAAUCCUUAUCUUAAUCCUAUAGAUGAUCAGUCUCUCAAUUUCUUUGACAACUUUACCCCUACGACUCAUCAUCUCCUCUCUUCAUCUCCUCCACUCUCUCAACUCCAAACCCUUAACCUCUCCCACACUAACACUUUCCCCAGUUUCGAAAGCUUCGACGCCGUCAAAACAGAGCGUCCUCUGUUUAACUCUUCAGUCAUGGAAGAUUCAUCGAGUUUCCCGAAUCAGAAUCUCUUAGGCUCGCCUGAAAACUCCAUCCUCUCCGAUCACAUGCGACGUGUCUACAGCACUGGAGAUUUGCAGGUAUCAAUUUACUGUUUUCCUCUGUAAUUUCACCUAUAAAACAAAGAGAGUAACUUUUUGUGUACUUUUAAAGAAUCUGAGAAUGGAUACUACGGGACAACGAUCAUACUCGAGUCCUUUAGGUGUGGAGAACUCAUGGACGACGCCGUUUCCCGGAGAAGAACAGAGUUUGAAGGUGGGGCGUUACAGUGCGGAAGAACGUAAAGAGAAGAUUUCAAAGUAUAGAGCUAAACGAACACAAAGAAACUUCACCAAAACCAUUAAGGUAAUAUAAUACCUGUUCAUGCCAUUUUGUCACGUAAAUAAAAUAAAUAUGUAUGUUUUUUUGGUUAAAACUCUAUUUUUCGGUACAAUGGAGAAAAGAAUUCCCAGCUGUGAUCUUGAUUCAAUCAAAUCUUACAUAUUGAAACUUCUUAACGAGUUGCAUUUGGAAUAUAAAAGAAAACUUUAAUUUAUAAGCUUGAUAUCUAGUAUAGUAAGCCUUUUAACAAGAUAAAAUAUCUAGUAUAGUAAUGAAAUAUAUAUGUUUGAUUGGUUAGUUAUAAUUAAUUUGAAAAUCUAUGUAUAAUUUAAAAAUUCACUCAUUUAAAAUUUAAUAUGUGGCUCUUAAUACCAUUACAGUGAAUUUUAUUUGAAAAGAUACUCAAACUAAACGUUUACAAAUUCAAAUUAUGGGAUAUUUUUUGUUGCAUGGUUAUAGUUAGUUUAUUUAAAUGAAAUGUUUUUGAAGUAUGCAUGCCGGAAAACGUUGGCGGACAACAGACCAAGAGUACGUGGCAGGUUUGCACGUAACGACGAAGUUUUAGAGAACCCCAAGAUUGCUUCUUCUUUCUCUAUACAAGAAGACGACGACCUUUGGGUAAUUAUCUAAUAACCAAACUGCAUUUAUUUUAUUUACAUAAAGGUUGUAUUUCAAUUGAGCUUAAGUUAAUAAUAACCUAAGAAUUAUAUAUCUUUUAAACUUGUGGCAGAAUUUGGAUGGGUUGCAUGAGGAAGAAGAAGCUUUUAUGAGUAGCUUUGUGGAAUGUCAGUCUCAGCCUCAACGACAAAUGCAAUACACAACAACUUCCUUCUGGUGAAAGCAUAUCUGUCUGAAGAAAGAAGAGAUGAAUAUUAUAUUUUCCGACUUAAUUUAAUAUGGAAUGGAAUCGAAUCAAGUCAUAUAAUGGAUAUUUAUUUUUGAUUCUCACUUACAUCAAGAACAAAAACUAAUAUAUGACUCGAUUGUAUAGUACUGCACUAGAAUAAACAAUUCAUGUUCUUUACAAAACAAUAAUAAUAAUUACAAAAUAUGGAUUUAUUUUAGGAGAAUAAAAUAGUGGUUUAAGUUUAACUAGUCACUUAGUGAUAGUGGUGUUGUAGCUUUUUCAUCGUUUUACUUUUAUUAAUAUGGAAACUGUUUCUCAGUUGCCUUUAUGUGAAUAUGUAGAAAGUUCAAAUAUUUGUAUCACCUUUGGAGAAAUAUUUGACCCUUGAAGGAAGAUUCUUCGGUGAAAUGAUGUGGUUAUUGAAUCACUUUGAAUUAGUGGACUAUCAAACAUUUAUGUAAUCUUAAUUGUAUAUCAUGAGAAGAUUAAUAUACUAAUGGCCCGAAUCAUUGACGGUAGUCAAGAUCCUCCCUUGUCAUGUUGGUAUUGUCUAUUGUGUGUAUAUAUACGAUUAAUAGCUUAGAGAAACACAAUUCAAAUAUAGCAUAAUAUGUAAGUCUGUCUGGUGUAUUAGCUUUCGUAUGUCCAGUGAUCAGUUGAUUAAACAAGUCAUCAACGUUAAAUUUAUAGUGCAUAUAUAGUUUCUUUAAAGAUUUUUUUUGAGAAUUGAUUUACUAAUUUUUCUAAGAAUAAGUUGAACGUUUUAGAAGGAGUUUUAUGUUGUUUGAAACUGAAAUAGUUUUAUAGACUAUUAUCAUGUAUUUCAUCAAUACAUUAGAAUCUAAAUGACGGUUGUUGAUUCUAAAAUCAUUUGACAUCAAGAAAAUCCUUUUAUAAAAAAUAGAAAGUUGAACUAAAAUAUCACCAUACUUUUUCUUUUCGAGGGGUUGAUAUUUUUGACGUAGCUAAGCAGUUAAAUGGGUCAAAGCAGGAUCAUUUCAAAGUUCAAACUAUUCUUACACCUAUGUUCAAUUCUUUUUUUCCUAUGUGUUAAUUUUCUUGAAUUUUCAUAUUUCAAUAUGUUUCGUUGAGUCUUGUUUUCUUCCACAUAUUCAAAACGGUAUAUUUCAUUAAAAUAUUAAAAUAUUAUAAAUUACAAACUGAAACAAUCAAAACAUAUAAUAUAAUUAUUUGUAUUAAUGAUAUAUAUCGUUUGGCCAUCAUUGAAAUUAAAAUCUAAUAUAAUACGAUGAUGUAUAAAUACAAACAAGUUGCAAAAUUAUCAACUUGCAAAUUCUGGCUCUAUGUAGCACCUGCUUUCGAAAUAAUUGGUUACCUAAAAAGGAAAGUUGAUGCUCAAUAAGGAAUAUGUUCUUGCAAUCGAACAUCGAUAUAUUUUCCUUUUGAAACAGUUUUAUGUUUUCUAAUGAAAUGUAGAGUAAACCAGCAUCAUUCUAUGAAAACGACGCAUUAGUUAAUCAAUGUAACUUAUACUACAACUAAUCGGUCAAAUUCGGAUGCACUGUAGUUAAAUCCACAUAUUUACGUUUCAGAAUUUAUGUACUUGAAGUUUAAUUUUUUUUUCUUACGUACUUAUAUAUUUAAGAUUAAUUUGUGUGCUGGUUCGUCAUUUAGGUGUUUCGUUAACGAAUAUAUAUAAAUAUUAAGUUAUUUCUAUAUCUAUCUUUUCACAAACCAUACAUCAUAUUUUUUUUUGAACUUUACAAACCAUACAUCAUUAUCAGUUUUCUUUUAUUCUUGUUUAUUUGUGUCCGGAAUAAGCCGGAUAAGUUACCAACCGGAUCCCCAUAACCAACUUGGAUAUAUACUUAUAUGUUCUCCAUUUGAUUUUCAAACAAACUUCUAAAAUUAUAUAUACUGUAAUACCUUUUUUAAAGUAGAUGUAUACAUCUAAAGUUUAAUUUUCUUCUUAUGAGGAAAACACUUGCUAGAGAAUAAUGUGAUGGUAUCAUCGAUUAGCAGAUCGUAUUGUUAAUUCUUCGGACUUGCCUUCUAUCUCUCUCUUUUUUUUUUGUUAAUUCUUCGUAUAAUUUUUCCUAUGAAAAUAUAAAAGUUGUAAAAUUGUAUUUAGUAUUAUCCCCCACUCGGACUCUCGUAAAUGGAACUCGAUGAUAAGUGUAACAAUGGUAACUGAAAAAAAAAGCUUUAAAAAAACACGAAAUGGUCAACUUAAAAAUUAGCCCUCUUUCGGAAGCUUUCUUUGGUGUUUGGCUAAAGGUUCAAUAAUGCUUAUAGACCAGUAGGUUUAGAUUUCAAAUCUUAGAAAAUAUGAAACUAUGCAAAUUAACGAAGAAAAAACUUACAAGAAAUUUACAUCAUGUCGCAAAGAAUAUCAUCAAAUGUGAAUCCGAUAGAGUGACUCAUAUGAUUCAGUCAGAUGUGAAUCGUUAUAAAGUAAAAUUAUCGACCGCAAAAUAGUCUAUAAUAUUUUUCAUAGUUUUUAAUAGAAUAGUUAUCCAACACUAAAAAAAUUAGCCGCCUAAAUAAAAUUAAAAAUACAUUGCACGGAGACGCUGAACGGGUUCAUCUAUCUUAUUAAAACUCAAGUACAAAAUUGGAGUGUUUGGAGAUUUGAAUAGGACUAUUAAAAAAUUUGGAGUGUUUGGAAACAUGAAUUGUAGUCUUUUAAAAAAAAUUAAUUUUGUUUGGAAACAAGGAUAGUAGUAGUAAGAAAAAAAAUAAUGGGCUUAUGUUAUUAAAAAAAUUAAAAGUCCAUCAUAUUAUAAAAAACUAUCUAUCUGAGCCAGAUUUAAAAUAUACGAAAACGGGUCAAUCUAAUUGCCUAAAACUUUUUCUUUUCUAAACUAACCAUAAAACAAAAUUUAAACUUUAUACACAUAUUUCAAAUCAAAAUAAUAAUUUAAAGUUGAUUUAUAUCAAAAAUUGAUUAAAAAAUAAUACAUAUAUUCAAAAAUGGAUUUUUACUAAACUAUUUUUCAAUAACCAUUAUAAAAAAAUGUUGUCAAUAUAUAUAAUAAAAAUACAAUACAAAGCCCAAUUUGAAAUACCAACUCAAAUUAUGGUUUUUAUAUUUCAUAUUAAGUUUUAAUAAGAUAGAUAUAUGUAAUUAUUUAUAUGAUGGUACGUAUAAAAUACUAUUAAUUAUAUGAUUACUUAUAUGAUGGUACGUAUAAAAUACAAUUAAUUAUAUGAUGACAGUAUACGAUAUAUAAUAAUGAAUAGGGAUGGGAUUUCGGGCACCAAUACGGGUUUGGUUCUGAUCGGUUUGUGUUUNNNNNNNNNNNNNNNNNNNNNNNNNNNNNNNNNNNNNNNNNNNNNNNNNNNNNNNNNNNNNNNNNNNNNNNNNNNNNNNNNNNNNNNNNNNNNNNNNNNNNNNNNNNNNNNNNNNNNNNNNNNNNNNNNNNNNNNNNNNNNNNNNNNNNNNNNNNNNNNNNNNNNNNNNNNNNNNNNNNNNNNNNNNNNNNNNNNNNNNNNNNNNNNNNNNNNNNNNNNNNNNNNNNNNNNNNNNNNNNNNNNNNNNNNNNNNNNNNNNNNNNNNNNNNNNNNNNNNNNNNNNNNNNNNNNNNNNNNNNNNNNNNNNNNNNNNNNNNNNNNNNUUUUUUUUUUUGUUUUCUCCUCCUCUGGUGCCACCAGCGGGUGUCAUAAACGGCGUCGUUCUAUGCUUUUUUUUAUAUCAUUUACUUGACGAAUUGUUUUGUUUCUUGAUAGAAUACGCCAAUUAAAACCCAAUUACACUAAUGGGAAAACCAGAAAGAUCGAGCUUAUAAAGUACGACGGGCCUAUCCGAGCCCACUAAUUUGGGCAGCAAACAAAUCGGUCCACCAAGGCUCACAAACAUGAUAUUCGUUUCCAGUGUUUCCAGCGACUCUUUCUGGAUAUAUAGCCACAUCUAGGCAUGCAGGUUCAGGCUUUUCCGUUAGUUCGGAUCGGUCGAAAUCUCGGCGAAGUGAAAAGAAUUCGGUUAGUUCGGUUUCAAAAUUUUCUACUGAAUUUUUUGAAUUCCGGUUAAGUUUUGAUUUAAAUUGAAUAAAAUUUAAAGAUUUCGCUAAGUUUGGUUAUUUCAAUUCGGAUUUUGGUUAAUUUAAUUCGGAAUUUUGGUUAAGAAUGAAAUUGUUUGGUAAAAAAAAAUUAAAAGUCAAACUAACCAAUUACCAAAUCAAAAACCUUAUUUUUUAAGUUACCAAACUUUCAAACCUAAUUUUUUGGUUCGGUUCGGUUUGGAAGGUUCAGUUCGGAUAAUAACCGCAGGCCUAGCCGCAUCUUCCCACAGUCUAUUCACCAUAUGUUUUUUCGUUAGUCUUUUCCAGUACGAAUCCGGUCAGUAUUAUUUGUUUUCUUCAAGUAUACGUACUCUGUCGGUGGCUUUAAUAUUCAUUACAAAUCACUGCUAGUUUUUUUCUCUCACACUGGAAAAAGGGGAUCAUGAUCUGAUGCUUGUCUCUAGCUGUUAUUUAACUUCUUUGUUGGUAUGUUUUGCUAAAUACAUACAUUUCGUCACUACCUUAUUUUAGGACACGGUCGUAUAUAUUUACGAUUGCAUUUUCAUUUGUAUUUCUAUUUGAAUUCCUGAAAAGAAGAUUAAUUAUAUAUAGCAUGUAUACGCGCACGCAAAGACAAUCACAGAGUUAAGCUCGUGUAUAAACGGACGGUUAAUAAAAGUUAGGACUGAGUUAUAACAAUUUAUACAACACUAGAUAUUUGCCCGCGCUAUUGCGCGGAUUCCUUAAUUAAUUUUGAUGCAUAUUGUAAAACAAAAUCAUAUACUUUUUGUAGAAAACAAAUCAACUAAAUUUACAUACAUAGUCAAUACUUGAGUUACAUGUACUAACUCAGGUAAUGUUAAGCGUGACUUUUUGGAAUUAUAGUGAUGACUAAACAUAUAGGAAACAACAAAUGAUUGGAUUUAUUAUCAUCUAAACAUAAGAAAUCAUUUUGCUUUUUACUUUUAAAUCAAAGUUCUGCAACUGAUCAAUGGUACAGAUAGCCAUAUUCAUUUUCCAGGAACGAAGGCUUUGAAAGAGUUACAUAUGAAAGUAUAUUCUAUGAAUAAAUUAUAUUGGCUCAAAGAAAAAGAAAAGAGAAUCCACCUCAAAAAUAAUAUAUAUAAAUAAAAAUUUCUAUACUUCUUAUUAACUUCAUUGUUGACAAUGCGUUCAUUUUUAUAAAGACAAUGCUUUUAUUUCUAUUAGUAUUUGAAGAAUGAAGCUUGAGGAAACUCAAUUGAAAUUUUUGUGAAUUAUGCGAAAAGAGAGUAUCAAGUUGUGAAGAAGAGAAAAUUCAAUCAGGAUAAAAAGUAAUUAUAAACCUGUAUUGAUUUCUUUCCUCACUCAAAACCUAAAAGAUGAUUAAAAAGGUGAAACUAUGAAAAUAGAGAGAUAGAGAGGGAGAGGAAAUAAACAAAGCAAAAUGAUAGGUUAAAAAUUAUAUAGAAGAUAAACAGUUUGAAUCGUGAGUAUGACAGUUAUAUAAAUGACAUGAUUCACUUUAAACGUGGUGGUAAUGCUUGAGAAAAUUUUGGGUUUUGAAAUUUUACGGUUUUAAAAAUUAUGGAUCGUAAUAUUUUUUUUGAUUAGAGAAUUUUUACUUUAACCUUUAGUUUUUUGUUUAAUUAAUUUUUUUUUAAAUAUAAACCAAAUGGCAAAAUAUGAUUGGAUGAGUGACUUGUGCUUUAGUAUAUAAGGGAUGAAUUUGAUUUUUUAUUAAUAAAACUUUUACCGGUGACAUUUUUGUUAAUGUUUGGUUUGUGAAAUGUUGAUGUGUUUGUAAAAGGAUGAUAACAAUUUUACCAUAGAACAGUCCACCUCAUUUUAAUAUAAAUGAUACUCGACAAAUAUUGUUAUUGAUGCUCUACUGUUCGAUUCGGUGUUUAGCAGUAUGCUACUGUACUGCAGACGUAUGCUUUUGCUAAACUGUUUAAUAAGAGAAUUGGUAAAACAGUAUGAGUAUGCUAUUUAAAAUUAUUAUAAAAAUUAAUAUAUAAUAUAUAAUAUAUUUAUUUUUAAUGAAUAUAUUUCUAAUAUAUAUAUAAAUAUAUUAACAUAUAAAAUUAACAAGAUAUAAAAUUAAUUUAUUUUAUUUAAUAAUUUAAAAAUUAUGUUUAUAUCGAAAAAAUAUUAUUUUAAAAUAAAUUUUAUAAUUAAAAUAUCUAUUUUUAAAAAUUACCUUUCACAUUUGAAGUAAAUUAAAUUAUAUAAAUUAAAUUAUAUUUUAAAUGUGAAAUACUAUUUAAAAAAUAUUUUUAUUGUAAAUUAAUUUUAGAAAUCGAAAAUUUUAUUUCUGGAUAUAAAAAUAAUUUUAUGAUAUUAUUAAAUAAAAUAAAUGAAUUAAUUAUAUAUUUUCCUUAAUUUUAUAAAUUAUAAAUGCAAAUGCUCUUUUAAAAGCUUCAUUUGAGAGCAUUGGCCAGAAAGCAUUUGGAGAGCAUUAGCAUUUAGUAAAUGUUUCUCUAAAUGUUUUUCUAACAAUUGUUGAUUAGAUAAUGUAGAACAUAUUGUUAAUGCUAAUGCUCUACCAAUCAAGGCGUAAGUAUUGUCAAUUUAAGGGGAAAAAAAUCAACUUCAGGAUCGAAUGCUGCUUCGCUGUUUGAGCCCACCACGUUUGGGCCUAAUCUUUGUCCGCCAUCUGAAAAUUAGGUAAAACAACCUGACCUGUAUUUUUUCGGCAUAAAACCCUUUUUUUUGGGCAAACAUUGCAUUCAUUAGAGCUAGAGUUUACUCUCCUAAAGCGGAGUUCAUUACAGAGCCAGCGAGAGCAGAUUUUGCCACCAAAUCUAUCUCGGAAUUGAAAUUACGAGAGAUACAACUAAAGGAGAUGACAUCAAAGAGAGUAACAUAGUGAUAGAUAGCAAAGUUUUGUAAAUAUCUAUUUGUUAAUUUUUACCACUGUUGGGUUUAUCAGAGGCUUCUUCAGCAGCUACAUCACCUCCUUCAUCGUUCUAACAUCUUCUAGAGGUGGUUCAAUGGUUGUUUAAGCUUCCUCCAUUGUUGUCUCAACCCUACUAGUGACCGUGUAGCUACAUCCUUAGUUUCUUCAUUGUCACCUUAGGCCUCUUGUUGGGCUUCAGCGAUACUUUAUUAAGUUUACUAGUUAAAUACCCGCGUUACGCCGCGGUAUUUUGUCUAUGUUAAAUUUUUUUAAAAUUUGUUACAUUCAAAUAAUAAUUAUUUAUUUAAACUUAAUGUUAUUAAUACUUUUUGUGAAAAUUGUGAUUAGUAGAUAUCAAUAGAUUUUGGUUUUGUAUUUUAACUUUUAGCAAUUCUUAUUCUUUUUAUUUAAAAUUUCUUAUAUAUUUUUAAUUUGUUGCGCAAGUGAUACUUGUAUUUUUUUUUUUGUUUUAUGCAUGCUAUUAAAGUUUAUUUUAGUUUUGAUUUUUAUUGUUAUUUUGUAUUUUGGGGAAUACUUAUGUUGGCAUAACGAAAACACAUAAUCCGACAUUAGAAACAUAGAGUACUAAAAAAAGAAAUACACACAGAAAAAAACAAAAACAUCUCCUCCGAUUCUAUCCGAGAAUGGAGUUUUUUUUUUGGGUCAAAGAAAGGAGUUAUUAAUGGUAAGCCUCUAGCGACUUGAGCCCAUGAGUUAACGAACUCCAUAGCUCCGAUACCAUCGAACAUACAAUGAUUCAUACAGAGUCGAAGAACAAACCCUCCAUUUAGUCACCUAUUAUAAAAUCCUAACAAAUUAGAUCUCAUCCUAAAAUCCUAAACAACAAAAAGAUUGCUUGAGCAGGAAGAAAAGUAGUAAACCUGAGCAGGAAGAAAAGUAGUAAACCUGAGCAGUAACGGGAGGGACUUCAAGAAUAUUCUUGGUUUCUACAACAUCAUAGACAAGUUUCUCUAGUGUCUCAAGGUCUGGUUUCGUGAUGUCGCCAAUCUCAUCCAUUUUACAGUUUGUUUCAGCUUCCAGAAACACAACUCCAUCUUCAGUAUAGUUCACAGUGAGUUUACCUGAAGUUCACACCAUUAAGGAUAUUUUAGUCUGAGUUAUAGAGGCCAAAACUGGAUCAGUGGUUAUUAAUUGUUUUCAAAAUUACCUACAGGACUUAUGGUGAGACGUCCAUCAAGAGGAUAGUAAUGAAGAAGUACUUGACUCAGAGAUACAGAAGGCUGUCAACACAAGGAAGAUAUGGAACUGUAGCUGAGAAUAGUAGCCAUGACAUUUGUAGGUGAGUUACUUCUCGAGCUGUUUCUGAGUAUCACCUUGGGAACCAAAUAUGAGACUUAGAAAGCUACAAUCAUAGUGCUCUUUAACCUGCAAAAACAUAAGUUCAUACAAUAUCAGCUUCCAAAAACUGAGUUUGUUACAUGGCAAUAAGAAAACAGAAUCCAAAAGAUGUUAAACAGAAACCUUUUAAGAAAAUGACAUGACUGCGGUUUCUAAAGUUAAAGAGAACCUUACCGUAUUUCUACAAAAUCUUUCCGCGUCUGAAGCCAUUGUCUUCACAAGGAGAAUCAUAUACCAUUUGGAGUUUUCUUUAUAGAAGAUAUCCACUUGUAAACCAACUAAACCUACGUCUGUUACUAUACUUCAUUGUCUCUCAUCGGUUCUUAAAAUUUAGAAUCUUCAUAGUCUCUUCUCAUCAAAGUCAUUGCACCUGAACUAUUUCUCAGGCUUACAUGUUUCAUACAAGAUAUUCUUUGAUGGCUUUAUCUGUUCCCAAGGAACAACAUCACCAAGGCUAACCAACAAUAAGAAAAAUAGUACCCAGGUUUUCAGAAUACAAGUUAAUCAAGUAUCUACUGGAACUGAGCAAUGCCAAAUUCACAUAGUGACCAUUAAGAAAUAACACGAUAUAAAUAUGAAGCUUAGGUUACCUUAGUGGAGAUGCUUGAGCAAAAGGAGCUUUCAGCUUUCUUACGUCCAAAAUUUCAGGGCACUGAGAGAUAUAUAGAAAAAAAAAACUAAAGGAUGUAAACAACAUUGUUGUAAGCUGUAUGAAGUAGCAAUACCCUUUACAUGAACCUAAUCAACGUUGUGAAAUUACCUAUCUGGUGCUCCGGCAAUUGUGAUCUCGUCUUUGAGAUACAGUACAGAGGUAAUGCUAGAUGAAGCAGCCUGAACACACAAAGCCAUUAGAGGCGAAGAAAGGAAAAAUAGAUUUGACGGGAGGAGAAAGGAUCAGGAAUAAACCUUGCGACGUCCAAUUUCUUUUGAAAGAGGAGAUAGAUGAGCUCCUUUAACCAUGCCAGUAGAGCUGUUUGAAGUCCAGAACAACAAUCAAUAUGGUUUACAGAAGCCAGAAAAGAUAGUUGCAACUAAGUUUAGACAAAAAGAAUUACUUGAUGCAAAACUCUUCUCUUAAAGAGCUUCUUUUACAUCUUAAAUCCCAUAGCGCAAAACAUCCAUCUCUCGAACCAGAGACAAGAAGAUCUGCAAACACUAAGAGCUAAAGCUAUCCUGACUUAAAAUAUCAACAUAUUUAACACUAACACUCUCUGAUCACACAUACUCACCAAACAAUUUUGCUAGGCUUUUCCGGUGACAGAGGAGGAGAUAGUAACUUCUGUGAAUCGAACCACAGAGAGAGUUCUCAACUGAGGAUGGUACGAUCCGUGAUCCCGAGAUCCGAAACCUAAACUGUUGCUGCAUCUUGGCGAUAUCAUUAACCCAGAACGCCAAAAAUCGACAGUAAAUGUUGAAAUUAACACCAUUCAGAGCGGCUAGGGCUAGAGCUUGGAUUCACAUUACAGCCGAUGGAUCAUAGAUCUUGUCGAUUCGUAUUUUUUUCUAAACCAAGACUGUUAAAAAAAGAAGUUAAACACAAUGGCAAUGACAUGGACAAACAAAAUGGUCUCAUUAGCUUCUCAACUUUUUUCAUUUGAUGACAUGUCAAUCUCUCAGUCAUUUUAAAGUCUGAGGUAUCAUGCUCUGGAAAGAACCUUGCUCUAUUAUUGUGUUGAUUAUUGUGUUGAUUGUUAUAUAUAGUUACAAGUUACAACAUAUUACUCGUUGUGCCAUCUUAGCAGCGCGUGACUUUUAAUCCCAUGGGCGUGGAUUCGAUUACCACAGACGGCGACCAUAACGUUUUCGAGUGAGCCUCAUUUUUGACUAUUGUUACCACUUACUAGUCACCACGUUACAUGGCACCCAAGUGAAUAUUAUCUGUGUUGUGUUAUUGCAAGUGGAAUUUGAAUAAUGCAUAAGCUUUUGUUUUGUUGAUUGACAUUUAUCAAUUAUCAUACAUUCUUUUUUUUUUGUGGUCAAAUAUCAUACAUUCUUUUAAGCUGUUGGUUUAUUUUGGGGUUAUCCUAUAUUUUUCCUGAGUUUUUUUCUGUUAAAAUCUGACUUGUGUCAUAAGAAACCAACUAUUUAUUUGUUGAUAAGGAAUCCGUAACGUGUUGAUAAUACUAACUGAUCAAUGAUAUAACAUGGAAUUGCUCGUGCCUACAAGAGAUGGUGUACACAACAACAACAAGCCAAGCAUUCCCAAUUAUUUAUUUCUCACAAUUAAGAUGCGUAAAAGUCGAAAGACUUAGCGUUCAAGAACAAGCUCUCUCUCUCUCUUCCCUCUCUAACCCGUGAACCUUCAACCCUAAUCAGCUUGCGCCGUCUUCAGCCGGUGGCGGCUCCGGCGGAUUCGCUGCCUCCGUCGCCGGCUGUCUCUCCCUUCUCUAUCCUUUCUUUCUCCUUCCCUGUCUCGUCUCUUUCUCCCUCUUCUUAGCUUCGUCGAUAUACUUUCCGUUGUGGUUUCUCUCACUCCUCUCCGGCGUCGCUGCCCGGUGGUGAAGAUUCUGGAGCGGUGGUGAGGCGCGGCUGGGAGAGUGGAGCUUGGUGGCUCUUCCGUGGGUUUCCUUCGAGGCAUCGCUUAGAUCUGGCCAGAUCUGCUUUCAAUGGUGGUCGAUUUUGCUCCGGUGGUGGUGCUCCGGCCCUCAGUCGUCUCUUCCGGCGUCAGUUUGCGGUUGUUGAUGACAAGUGCCCUCGUUCUCGGUUUGGGGGUUCUCGUUUUUGAGAUUUCUCUUCAGAUCUAUCUUCUUCUCAUUACCAGUGAGAGUUUAUUGUAUCAGGAGUUGAUUUUGAAUCUCAGGCAAGUUCUCAGACAGUGGUGGUGAUUCUCUGCUGGCAGCUCUCCUUGCAGGUUGGUGUAGUGCUCCUUGUGGCUAGAAGGUGUCUCUGUCUAGCUUGUGAGAUAGGGCUGAGCUCUUCUUCUUGGCUAAAUCAGAAGUGGCGGUUUGGUGAAGCGGGUUGUUUGAGCUUCUCUUUGCGGAAAAGGUCAGACUCUGGUUCUCAGGGUCAGUCGCUCGUGCGGGUUAUUGUUGGCUUAGGUAUGUUGUAGUCGACCUUGGACUACAGUCCCGGUGAGGGCGAGUGUUGCUAGCACCUCUGCAGAUAGGGUGUGGUUCCGCGGAUUCUUUGCCCUGUGGUGUUAGCGUCCUUUUUUUUCGUUCAUAGUCUGGUGGUGGUGGCGGGUUAUCAGCCAGUGGUCUAUCCAAAUAAGAGUGGUUUGUGCUCGAAGUUGGGGUGUUGGUGGUUCCAGUGGGGGUCUUUGGGGUUUUUAGAGUUCUCAGGUGCCUGUGAGUUUCAGGAAGGAGGAGUAGAGGUGGCUGUUUUGCGGUGCUUGGUGUCCGGUGCUUCGACAGGCUCUGGUUCGUCGGUUCCGCCGUUUCGGUACGGCCCCAUUGUCGUCUAUUCUGAAUUUCAAGCUCUAGUUGGUAUCUGUGCAGUUGCAGGUGGUAGGACCUUUGUGGUAAGGCCAUUUUUUUUGGAGGCGAGUGCCUGGGGAAGCCAACUAUACCGGCUCGUGACUCAUGUUUUAACUGGCGCCUUCCUUUGGGGUUCGAUCUUGCGUGCUGCUCGCUCUUAGCAACCCUUACAAGUUCUUCCCGUGUGUUCUCUCUUCUACUUCUAGGUUCAGCUCAUUCUCGCGUUUUUCUUACUGUAAUUGUUGUUGUGUUGUAGUUUCUUUUUGGCGUUUGUCUUCUGCUACUAGUGUUUCUCUGUAACUUCUGUCACAAACUUUAAAAUGGUAAUGCAAUCUUAACAUGUUUACCAAAAAAAAAAAAGAUGCGUAAAAGUCUUGCCAUACCAUUUCUCACAAUCUAUACAAUGUUUGUACGUUUCAAGCUUUUUAUUUGGAAGAAAGAACAAAGCCAUGGACGUUUCCUUUUCUUCUCUAGACGGUUAAACCAAUAUAAUAUUGGUGGCAUUUUGGAUAAAUUUGAAUAAUUUGAAUAUAGUUUAUAGAGAAAAAGACUAUAAUAGUACCAAACCAAGUUUUUGUUCCCAAAGUAGCACUCAAGGUUCAAAGUCACAAAAAUAGAUUUCAUUAAAAAAGUAUAUAUACACUUAUACCCUUUAGGUUAAUUAAUACAAACCUUAAGGUUUAGAGUUAAGGGGUGGAGUUUUGGAAUUAAAGUUUAAAAUUUUAUAAAAAAUAAAUACUAAAAUAAAAAAUAAAAAUUUUAAAAACAGUUUCAAAAAGUAUUUUUAAAUUAUAAAAAUAAAAUUUGAAAAAAAAAUUCAAAAAAAAUUCAAAAUAAAAAUUUCAAAAAAAAAUAUAAAAAUUUCGAAUCUCAAAACACAUAAUCUGAAACUAUAGUUUUUUUUUUAUUUGUUUAUUUAAUUUUAAACCAAAGGUAUUAGGUAUAUUUUACCCUUUAAUGAAUGUUAUUUUUGUGAUUUUCUCCUUCUAGUGCUAUUUUUGAGACAUAAACUUCAAAAUGUGCUAUUAUUGACAAUUGCCCUAGUUUAUAUCUCAAAUAUGAUAUAAUUAAUUACAUUAUAAAGCUAAUUUACAUAAUAUAAUACUCCAUGUGUUCCUAAAUGAUGCAAGUUUAUAUGUUUUUUACACAUAUUAAAUUUUGGUUAUUAAAUCUAUUAUUUUAUGUUUAUCAAUUUCCAAUUAUUUUACACCAACAAGAUUUCAAAAAAUAUUUUUUUGAAGUUUGUAAUCUAUCAUUAUUAACCAAUAAAACAUAUUUAGUAAACAUAAAACAUAUUUAGUAAAAAUAAAACAUAUAUUUUUGAAAUAAUAUUUUUUAAGAACAUUUAUCUCUUAGAAACAGAAACAGAGCGAGUAUAUAUGGAAUGGAAUCGUGAUUAAAUAAAUAAUAUUUCAUAUUAAAAAUUUGAUAAAAGCUAUCUUUAUUCUUUUAUGGAACGUUAUUAGUUAAAAGCUUCUUUAAUUUAUAAUAGUAAUCAACAUUAGUAUCUUGACCAAAGAAAAAGCAAUAAACGUUACUAUAAAACCAUGAAGAACGAUGAGAUGUAUUGUAACAGCUCACGAUCAUCAUCUUUAAAAAAAGGAAAAACAGCUCACGAUCAAAAUCAAAAACAAAAUUAUUUUGUGAAGCGGACCUUUUGAGGUAUCAUCGAUGGCGAAGAAAGCAGUAUUGAUCGGAAUCAACUACCCUGGAACCAAGGCGGAGCUACGAGGCUGCGUCAACGAUGUUAAGAGGAUGCACAAGUGCCUAGUCGAUCGGUUCGGUUUCUCCGAGAGAAACAUCACUGAGCUGAUCGAUACCGACAACUCUUCCACCAAACCUACAGGCAAGAACAUCAGACGUGCGUUGUUGAAUCUAGUUGAGUCGGCUAGAUCUGGCGAUGUUCUCGUUGUUCAUUACAGUGGACAUGGGACGAGGUUGCCGGCUGAGACAGGGGAAGAUGAUGAUACUGGUUAUGAUGAGUGUAUUGUUCCUUGCGAUAUGAAUCUCAUUACCGGUAAGUGACGAAACUAGUUUGUUGUUGACUUUGACUCUGUUCUGUCUUGGUCGAAUAGAACCUUUGUUUACCCAUUUUUUUUCGAAUAGAACCUUUUUUUUUUUUUGGGCAACCGAAUAGAACCUUUUAUUACCACUUUGAUCGGUUAUAAGUUGAGAAAUGGUUUUGCUUCAUGAAAAUUAUCUUUCUUGAGAUCGAAGUAUUCUCGAAUUUAUCAGAAGAUGAUUAAAUGAAUAAAUUGUUUAGGGUUUCAGAUUCAAUCUCAGGUUGGAAUCUGGAUGAACUGAAGCAUGGUAUUGAUAUUUUUAUUUGGUUAAAAGUCAAAUACAAAAUAAAAAUUACAUAGUAUGAAUCUCGCCCUAAGUAAUGUACCAAUUAAAGAUUCAGAAUCUCCAAGUAAUUAAAAAAAUCAAAUGCAAUUUCUCAUCAAUUUUUCCUUCAGCUCAAGAAAAUAUUUUGCAUAUAGCUUCAGAUUCACUCUUUUUCAUAUGAAUAUUCUUAUUGGUGAUUCCGUUCUCAGAUGAUGAGUUCAGGGAGCUUGUGGAGAAGGUGCCAAAAGAUGCACAGAUUACAAUCAUCUCAGACUCUUGUCACAGUGGUGGUCUCAUUGAUGAAGCUAAGGAGCAGAUAGGAGAGAGCACAAAGAAGGAUAAGAAAGAUAAAAAUGAUAAGAAGGAUAAAAAGGAUAAGAAAGAUAAGAAGAAGUCAAAGAAAGACUCUGGAACCUCUUCAAGAUUUGGAGUCAAAGACUUGGUCAUUGAGGCUGUAGAAGAAGCAUUUGAAUCUAAAGGGAUCCACAUUCCUCAUCACAGAGAUGAGAAACAAGAAGCCAAGGUUAAAGAGGUUGAACUAGACAAUGAUGAAAAAGUCCAUGUUGUGAACAAAUCUCUUCCUCUACAAACCCUAAUCGAUAUCCUCAAGCACGACACCGGGAACAAUGAUAUCGAAGUUGGCAAAAUCAGACCAACACUUUUCAAUGUGUUUGGAGAAGAUGCUUCUCCAAAGGUGAAGAAGUUCAUGAAAGUGCUUCUAACGAAGCUACAAGAAGGUAAAAGUGAAGGUGGAAUAUUGGGAAUGGUUGGGAAACUAGCUCAAGAGUUUCUUGAACACAAGCUGAACAAUGAUGAAGAGUAUGCGAAGCCUGCGAUGAAGACACAUGUGGAGAGAAAGCAAGAUGUCUAUGCAGGUGCAAGCAAUGGUUCUCUUGCGGAUAAUGGUAUUCUAAUAAGUGGUUGUCAAACCGAUCAAACAUCUGCAGAUGCGAGUCCUGUGGGGAAACCUGAACUGGCUUAUGGAGCAUUUAGUAAUGCUGUGCAGAUCAUACUUGGGGAGACAAAAGGUGAGAUUACAUACAAGGAACUUGUUAUGAAAGCAAGAAAGCUUCUUAAGAAACAGGGCUAUGCUCAACGACCGGGGCUGUAUUGUAGCGAUAAGUAUGUGAAUGCUCCGUUUAUUUGUUAAGGGUUGGUACUCAACAAAGUAUGUGGAGUUACGUGUUGAAUAAGUUAUGUGAUUUCUUUGUUGUUAUGUUAUUGUAACUUUGAUUUGAAUGUCAAGCGUUCAUUGUCCAUUGGUUCUUUUAAUUUUUUUACCUAUUUUUAUUAAAUUCUCAAAUAUUAUUUCUGAGAACUGUGCUUGCUGAGAAAAAUAUUCUUUUUUUUCUUAACUUUGUAUGUUUUGGACAUGCAUAUAUCAUAUAUGUCCACUAAGGAAACGUUUAAGACCAAAGCAGAGGAAGUUUUUUUUUUUUUUUGACGAAACCAAAGCAGAGGAAGUUUCUUGUUAGAUAAUAUAAUCUUACAUCUUCUUGCCAAUUUACCAUGUGAUAUACACAAGCCUGAUACUAAGAGUAAGAAAAAAAAUAUUAAGCCUAAAGUUCAGAAUUAUCAAAGAAUUGAUAAAAUAACUAAGACGGUCUUGCCAAUCUUUAUUUCCCUUUAAUUUAACAAUAAAUAAAUAAACGGCAUGGAGGAACUUGGUUGCAGAGCUUGGAGGGUUGGACUUGGUGUAUGUCUUCUGAUAGGUUCCAUACCUUAGACGUUCCCGAAGAAGAAGUUAAUAUGGCCAUUGACUAUAAAGUGACGUGGUGGCAGGGAGAGGCAAAGACUCGGUCUCUGUUUGAGGCUUUGCCGUUGAAGCUUUUCUCUUCUAUAUAACGUAGUCCUCCUUAUUACGAGUUCUUCAUGUUGAAUGAUGUUGUAAGUGUGAGACGCCAUGAGUCUCCCUUCAUCACGAUCGCCAUGAGAUCGUGAUUGAAUCUUCAGACACGGAUCGCCAUGAGGUCAUGAUCUGAGAUUCACUUAUUCAGCUUAUCCUUUUAUCCUUUUGUUUGUAAACGUUGGUUUUGGUUUCAAUAAGAUCGAGAGUUCUUUACAUAUUCGAGAUUGAUUGUGUUGAUACGAGAGUUCCGAGUUACGAACUUAUCAUCUUCUUCUUACAAAUAGGACAGGAAAUACUGUUUUUGUCUCAAUCAUCUAUCUCCUGAACCCAUGCUAAAUCUGCAAGAAAACAAAGCGACACUAAUCAAUCGCCAAAGUAAUCAUUCAAGAUAUACUCAAGAUGGAAACUACAUGAGAAAAGUUUUUGUGAUAAUACCUUGUAAUACAGUUUUUACAGCUGCAUUUGGGAUAGAGAGUCCCACUAUUCUCUGAUUAUCCGUUGUAGUCUCUAUUCGUGUAACUCCGAUUCUCUUAUGACUUUGACGUGCCUGAAACAAAACGAAAGCACUGUUAAGUUUUCUUGCCAAAACUAAAACAGAGUAUUAGAGAAAUUUAGCAAAGAUUUACUUGUUUGGAAAUAGCUUUCUCAAUGGUUCCCCAUAUGGGAAGAAUGAGGCCACCCACAACGUUUACUUACUGUAUUCUUCUUCCAACUGUGCAAUACUCCCCCAGCUUACACUACCGCGCAUACACUGUACCUCAGAUACAAAUUCAUAUCAUUAAUGCGCAAUGCCUGCAUCAACAGUUAUGAGCCACAAGGCUUAAAACCUGAAACACACAUCUAUUUCUUUUUUUUUUUGGUUUUUAUAUAGAUUGAUUUUUAUUACAUAUGAAAGUUACCCUGUUUAUGAAUACACUAGUGGCAUGCCCGCCCUGCGGGCGGGGCGGUUGUAUUUUGUUGUAAUUCUUAUGUUUUUGAUGUAGCCAUGUUUUGGAGUUAUUUGUUUGUGUUGAAUUGACUUCAUUUUUGAAAGUUGAAUAUACGUUGAGGGAUAAAUAUUCUUCUGUUCUCUUUUGAUGAUUAAUGAAACUUGAAAAAUUAGGUAAUGUUUGAAUUAAUUUUGUCCGGUUGAAACAAACGUCAAAUGAAUAAUAACAUGAAGAGUUCUGUUUAUAUUACAAUGCCUUGACAAAGAAGUAAAACCUUAUUUCAUUCUCCUUAAGCAAACGAUAAUAACCUAAUAUAAUAACCGUUGGUAAUUCUAAUAAUAAUAGAAACUUUCACUAAUUAUAAUUUAUUACUUAAAAUCAAAAUAAAUAAAUGAUAGAGUUUAAAUGGAAAUAACUUAGAUGAAAAUUAAGGAAUAAAACAUGAAAAAAAGAGAGGCUGGAAUGCUUGGUUCUUUCAGUUGCAAACGUUUUGUUCGUUUACAUCAUGUAAACAAACUUUGUCAAUUGCUUAUAAUAGUAGCACGUAUCACAGCGCUCGUGAAUAUUGUCUCUGUGGCAUGCGAUGGUCUCCCUUGUGUUACGGUAAGCAGUCAUGUAAGACUCAAGUCUUGUGACUCUUAUUCCAUGGAGUGAGCGCUUGACCCUUCUCCAGCACCUGUCAGCUCGGUUUUUGCUUUGUCUCCAUCCAAGGGUAUCUAACAUUGCUUGUCCAAUUGCCGUUUCUCCCUUAGCUAGCAUUAUUACACCAUAAAGGUAAACAGCAUUUUCGUACGAUCCUUCUGCUGCGAUCUGAAGAUGUAGCAAGCCUCCAUUGAUGUUUUGGUGGUGGAAAUAUUGUUGUAUCCCCCGUACGUAAUGAGCUUGCAAGUUACCGCUUGCGAGGCAAUUUUCCAUAAGACUUUGGUACCUUUGUAACGCAGCUCGUGGAUGAACGGUUAACGGUGGAUAUUGAGGUUCCUAUAGACAAUAGGAACUGCCGCGGAGCGGGCAAGAGGAGGAACCGCAGCCAAGAGAUUGCGGACUGCUCUCCUGGAGUGCCUUGCUAUACGUGAAAUGAUUUCUGUUUGCAUAUCAAUUGGCAUGAGUUCGAGGUUAGAGAGAUCUCUGUUUCCGGCCAUUGUGAUCUGAGUGUUUUUUUCUUCUGGUUAGUGCUUGUGGAAGUUUCAGAGUUUAUAUGUAGGUGGCAAGGGUUUGGUCUGAUCAAUAUAUGUCGAGCAAUGUUUAUUGCUUGACGUGAUCUUGUCUUUGUAAUUGAUUUUUUUAAAGUAAUAUUGGAAAGUAUGCUUAUUUCAUAGUAACUGUUUUAUAUUUUUUUGAUAAUCAUUUGAACUUCGUAUAUAUUGGAUUCCAUGUAUAGUUUAAAUUUGGUGUUAACUAUCUUUUGUUAUCAUAUUGUAUUUAAUAGUAUAGAUAUAUAUGAGAAUUGGAUUAAUGGAUUUGUUUUUUUUUUGAAUUUUGAAUGAUUAAGAUUAGUUUUUAUAAGUAAUUAAUCUUAGAUUUUGUUUAUGAAUUUUGAAUGACUAAGAUUUCGUUUAUGAAUUUUGAAUGACCAAGAUUUUGUUUAUGAAUUUUGAAUGACUAAGAUUAAUUUUUAUAAGUAAAACGCAUAGAAGAAACCCGUUUUGGGCUUAAUAUAUUAAAUCAGGUUUGGUGGUUUAGUACACGUUAUUAUUAAGUUGUUUUAAUUUAUAAAAAUCAGCUUUGGGCUAAGUAUCAGAAAAUGAACACAGGUUUUGAGCCCAUGCGCAUAAACCGUUUAAUGAGUUUUCUUAAGUUUCCAUGCAUGGUAAAAUCAUAGGUCAAACGUGAUAAAGACGCGGGAAGUAAUAUUUUUUGUUUGUAGUUUGGUUAAAAUAUUAUUUUGUAAUUUGAUUAACAGUUUCGGUUUGUUGUAGGAAAUAUUGAAUGAGUAUUUGUAAUUUUAAUUCUGAUAAUAAUGUGUGUAUCAUUGUGGUAGGUGAUUUAAAAUAUAAUCUUUUAAACAUUGUGGUUAUGCAUCGACUUGUAUUUGUUUGGAGUCCAAAUUAAAUUAACGGGGUAUCAAUUUAAAAGAUUAAAUAAACGGGAUAUCAAAUUAAAUAAACGGGGUAUCAUGAGUAAAAUAGCGUAUAUGCGUAUUUAUAUUAUAUUUAAUUUGUUUAUUACGUCUGUAAAAUUUUAUAGUCUUAUAAUCCAAAAUUUUUUUGCCAGGUUUGAUUUUGUAUUUUUUUUUGUCAUCUCGAUUAUAACUUUAUGAUCAACGAAUUAUGAUUUGCCAUAGACCUGAUUUUCAAGUUCGUAUGUGUACGUAUAAGAUAGCUUAGGUCUUGGUUCUACUCUUGAUCGUAAGGCUGGUUUCUUUGUUUUCAUUAACGAAUGUAUUAAGGGACAAUGUAAUGCUAUUAUUAUAAAAUGAUGAUAGUAAGAAAGAAAACCUCACAUAGAUAUUAUUAAAAUAUAAUGCAAAAUAAGAAGCUGAUUAAGGAAAAAAGAGAAACAACAUAAUAGAAUACGUAAACAUAAGUAAACGUAAAAAUAGCAGCAUGAACACUGGAUUGGGCUUUUCUUCUUUUAAACUAAAGCCCAAAAAAACCAAACUCUCCCGUAAACCAAACUCUCCCGUAAGGAAAAAGUGAAGCUCCUCCCUCUUCGACACGUGGCGACAAAAGGAAUAGGGUGUGCUGAGGUGGCACUCUAAGGAGAGUUUCUGGGCAACUUUAUGGAUUAAUAUAGAUAUGCAACGAAUAUACGUAAAACACACUCGAAUACAAAAUGAAUGACAAAAAGUACAAUUUCUUAUAUCUUGGAUAUUUCUAAAUUAAGUUGACAUAUGAAAGAACAUUUUUUUAUAGUAUAAUAGAUUUUCAACAUUUAAAACCAAUGAAAGCAUAUCUACCACUACCAACAAGCGUACGAUCAUGUAUGGUUUGUGUUCUUCGCAUUCACUAUUACUAACAUAGCCAACUACUACCAACAACUACAGUUACUAGUAUUCAUCCCAGGAUUGGAAGUUGGAACCAAGAUCAUAGAAAAUCAUUUCGAAUAACUCGUACAUCUUCCAUUAACAUUAAAGUUAGAUAAUACAUAAAACGACAAUGAUGUGCUUAUAAUUAAAUCUACAUUACAUGCAUUCAAAAAUCUUCAUCAUAUUCAUAUCAUGCAAUCACACUACUGAUGAUAUCAUUGUUACCCUGCCGAUCUUUGCACUCUUCCUCGUCCAUAGUGUCGCAUAGAUCACUCCCUCUAGUCUCUGGUAACGCGACGGCAAACAAACCAAGCAAGCCUAUAGCUAAACCAAACAACCCGAACGACCAGAACCCGUUUUUCCGACCAGCUGCCACCAUAAUCGGGCUGAAGACCCCACCAAGCACCAAUGCCUGUCUAGUCAUUGCGAUCGCCGAGUUCCUCACGCAUGUCGGAAACAACUCGAUUGUGUAUAUCAUCUCAAUAUUAAAAGCCGAACACGCGCAAAAGUAAGAGAUCAGCUCUAAUACCAAUUGUAAAGCCCCGUGGCUCCCUAUUCUCAUAUUCUGUAACGCGAAUAUGAGAACGCUCGAGACACCUCCUAAGGCCGUAAACCCGAUGAGUGCGUUUCUCCUGCUGAGUUUGUCCACGAGGAAAAGCGUUAUGAGGUUCGCUGGCAAAUCCAUCAACGCGUUAAACGCUGCACUCAUAUAAACGUUGAAAUCGAGAUUGGAUAACGCUAAAGGCAUCCCGUAGUAGACCAAACCGAUCCCAAACGCAACCGCCAUAACCGCGGUUAAUCUCCUAAGCGCCCAUCUCUUUUCCACCAACACCUUCAUGGCCGCGUAGAUGUUAACACUAGGCUUCUCGUCUUCCUCCUCCUCAGUUGGUAAGCUCGAAAAGCUCAUGGUACCAUCACUCAAAGGAAUCGAAGCAACUCUCUUGAGAAUCGAAAUGGCUUCUUCUCUACGACCUCUAACGAACAGCCACCUCGGAGACUCGCAGACGAAGUACCGAACCAGAACACAGUAGAUUAUGGUCGGAACCGAGGUCCAGAUGUAGAGUAUCCUCCACGAGUUCCCUCUAUUCAUAUAAGCCAUGGCAGGGAGAGACAAGAAGCCAAGCAUGAAGCCGAAGAAGCUCAUGAUCCCGACACGUCCUCGCCAUCUCUUCCCGACAAGCUCCGUCGAGAGAACAAGCGCACACGUCCCGAUCGUCGCUCGACCAAACCCGUUAACGAACCGGAGAAAAGCGUAAACCCAGAUGUUCGGCGAGAAAACCGUAAACAUUGUUGAUAUCGACAUCAAGAGACAGGAGAGAAACAGCAUGUUCUUACGACCGAGAGAAGAGUCUGCUAACGUAGAGAGAAUCAAACCUCCGAUUAAACACCCGACGAAGAAGGAACUCUCCGGCAAGCCUUUGACGAACGAGCCUGAGCAUUGGAGACCCCACUCGGAGAUGACGGAGACGUGAGGAGGGAAGUCCCAGGACCAAGAGGUUUUGGGGAGGAUGCAGAUGUUGGAGAUGGAGUCGUGACAGAACGACUCGGUGCAGUGCCAUUUGGGUUCGAAGUCUGUGAAGACGGAGAUGAAUGUCUGUUGAGCGUCGAAAACUCCGGAGAAGGAGACUAAUGUGGCCUGGAGGAACUGGGCCCACCCAAAGCUUCCAAUGUACCUCUCGAUCGUGUCGUCGAGGGAUCUCGGCGGUGACGAGUUUGAAUCGUUCAGAAGCGGCUGAGUUGGUUCAGCCAUGUUGCACGAGGUUUUUCUUUUCUUUUUUGUUUUUCUUUUUUUUUUUGCUUUUCCCUCUCUUGUCUUGUGCCACAGCUUCUCAAGCGGCGAGUCUUUUGUCCUGCUUUUAUUACAGAACAUUGUGUUGACUUUUCAACAUGGUAAUAACAAUUUAUUUUUAUCAAAUUUUCUGCAAACACUUACAUUAGAUUCAUUUAGCAAAUUUGAUGAUAUAGGUUAAAUGCAACUUUGAUUUGUAUAUAAUCUGAUAUACACGUUAUUACUCUUCCUCUAUUUCAGUUUAUUUGAUGUUUUUAAAAAGUAUUGCAAAAUAGGUAUUUAUGACCAACUACAUAAUACUGCAAUUUUUAAUUAUAUUUAAUUAUCUUAUGUAAUCAAGAUAAAGUUUAUAAAAUUAGCAAUUGCUUAAUUUAUGUAUAUCAAAUUAAAAUAUCAACUAAAUGAUAUAAAAGGAUGUUAUUUUAAUUUGGUAACACUAUAGUAAAUAAAAUAGUUAGUUUUAUGUUAAAUUUUAGAGAGUUUAGAUGAUUUUAAGUUUUCUAUAUAUUUAGCGGUUUAAUCAUUGGUUACGUUGCUGGGAUUUUUCUGCGUGUACUUAGAAAUUUAUCGAAAUAAGAUAGUGUAUUUUAAUCUGACUUAUACUUUACUUUAUAAUAUAGUGUUAGUGUUAAGUGUUAACCAGUUUGGAGGUAAAGCGUAGCUUGAGUAAACAACAAUUGUACAGUGGUCCUUGUUAUGCUAGAUAAUAGGCUGGUUGGUUGAGAUCACGAGACACAUGUGCGAUAGAAACUAUACCAACUUGUACUUUAACAAUCUACAUUAUUACGAGGCACUUUGCUCUGUUCUCAACGCGCCACGUCAACAUUUUGUAGAUCCCAUUUUUAAAAACUACGAAAAAGUGUUAAGUACAUGGUCUGAAUUCGGGUUAUUGAGAUAUAAACACUAAUAUUUAUACCACUAAACUAAAGUAUAUUUUGUACAUUGAUGCCAAAAACUAAUAUAUAUAUAUAUAUAUGAAGGUCGGAAGCCCUUGCUUCGUCGGCUUCCUCUGAGGAUCGGAUCUACAAGUAUAUUAUGAUUUCAUAUUUAAAUGAGAUAUAUCACGUUAUAAGAAAAAAAAGCUCAAGUUUGCAACAAUUAUAGUUUUUCCAUAUUGUAAAUUGUCAUCAUUUAACAUGAGUUAUGGUUCUUUUCAUCAUUGUCUCAGACAAGUCUGAGUUACAAAAUUGCACUGUGUAUAUGUUUGUAAUCUAUUUUUUCACCGGUGAACUCUUCAUCUCUCCAUCUUAAAUCGCUUGAUCAUAAAUGUUCCUGAUUUGUAACCCCUUUGUAAACCUUAUAUAUAUGAUUCUCAUCUUUGAUGAACUCAAUCUGCAUCUCCACAAAACUUAUUGAUUCCUCUUAGGUUUAACCAUCUUCUAGAAAAUGUCUCUCUCUGCCUCUCCAGUUUUUCAAACUGGCGUCGCCGACCUCCGUCACUCAACCUUCGAGUCUCUCUGUCUUGGUCGUAGUAGUCAGAACAUAGCCUCUGACUUCUUCCGCUUCUGGGAUUCUCUGAACUUCAAGAAAUACAGUGAGUUAAUGGGAAUCACGGUUCUCUUCCUUGAUGAAAAGGUAAGUUGAGCUUUGAUCUAUCACACUUAUUUAACAUAAUUGUUUUUAAUUGAUUUUAUGAUUCUUUGUUGAAUAAUAUUAUUUGCAGAUUUCGUGAUUCAUGGCGCCGGAUGUGCUAAUCAUUACAUGUCAUCUUUGAAAGUCGGUUCCAUUGUGAAAGUAGAUCGUUUUGAGGUUAUUAGGUGCUCAAGCAUGUACAAGAUAACUGAUCAUCCAUUCCUCAUUCGCUUAAUCUCACCAACCAUUAUUGAUAAAGUCAUCACGGGUGCUCCUGAGAUAAAUCUCCCGUCAUGAUUAGAUUGUUCGACAAUUUUCAAGUGAUUGCGAACACAAACCUAAAACUCCCAGGUAUAUUAUCAUAUUGCAUCUGGGUUUAUAUUAUGUUUUGAUAUCAUAACUGAUAUUUAAACUCGCAGAUGUGGUUGGGUAAAUCUGUUUUGUCCAAGGCUCUGACCUCACCAAAGAAACAACUCGAGUUAUUAUCUGUCUCUUCAUUGAUCCGUAAGAAACAAUCAACACACAAUUCCCUUUAAAUAAUUGUCUAUAUUGUGCUGACAUCAAUAAUCAAAAAUAUUUUAUACCCAAGAUCUGUGGUCGUCUAUUUAUCUCCAUUAUUUAUCAAAUUAAUUAUACACAAAACUUUAUUUUACGGCUUAAAAAAAUCACAACUACCCAAACAAUCAAAACACCAAAACGAGAACAAAAAAAAAACAAAUCAUUAAUGAUCACUUCUUUUUUUUGUCUAAUCUUACAAAUAAACUUUAAAACAAAUAUACCAAACCAAUUACAUCAACUAAAACUCAACGAUACAUACAUCGAGUCAGCUAAACAAAUACAAUCUAUACGACCAACUAUUUAACAGGUUAUAAACUUACUUUCACAGAUGCUUACGAAGAAGACGGAGAUAACAACCAAGAUCAGUGAAAUUACCAAAACAAAAAAAAAACAUAAUAAGUUACGAACUUUGAUAAAUACAAAUAAUAAUGAUUUUUGUUUACAUAAUACCCAUCAAAUAAAAGAGAAACAAACACAGCCACACCAAGAGAUACAAGAGACAAUCCCGACAGACACAAAUGUGAUAACAACAUCUUCACCUGCUCAGUCCUCUUGUCUUAUGAAAAUAGCUUACACGUACAAUGUCAAUAGACUAAUGCUAUUGUCUUCUUAUGAGAAAUACAUAAAUUCACUUAAAACCCAUUAAGGCUCAAAUACUCAGAAUUGUCACUCGUUUUGAUUUUAUAGUUAUUCUACAAGUCUUCAUGUAUUUGUUUUAAAGGUCCGGUAAAACAAUAACUUUAAAAAUAAAAUGAAAACAUAUAACAAACAUGAUGAAUACACACAACUUACACAACUAAACAGGAGAAAAAAUAUCCAAAAACAAAAAGUACCUUAACAACCUUAAUAUAAUUUAUGUACUCUCAACAGUACAAUAAAUAAAUUAAAAAGACAAACAAACAAUAAGUUUUAGUGACACAGUAAGCAACACCACGAACUAUAUCAAUUUAUAUUACCAACACAGUUUAGUCAUUCAUAAGUGGAGAACAAUGCCUACAUAGUUCAUCAUCACAACUCUAACUCUAUAACAAUAAAAAUUUGAAAAACAAUGAUAAACCCAAAACGCAAAAUUCAUAACUACAAUAACCUUAGCAAAUAUUAAAAUGAAACUAGAAUUAUGUAUAUAACGACGCGCUUGCGUGGAGGUAAUGUCCCUAGCACGAAUAAUAAGAUAGUGUAUCGAAACAGUUUUUUCUUUGCUAGAUUUUUCUAAAACAAAAAACUUAUUUGUAUACAGUUUUCAUCUUUUAUGACUAAAAUAUGUAAUUAAAGCAGGGAUUGACACACUCAUCAUAUCCACAUGUUCAGUUUUCAAAAAAGAAAUUUAUGUUCAAAAAGUAAACCAAAUCUUUUUACAAUCCGUUUGAUUGAUGAGGAAUAAAAAGUCUCCUUCGUUAGCCACAAAUAAUGAUCCUUUUUUUUUUUUUUUUUGAAACACAUUUGGCACAAUCAGUAACGUUGCCAGACAAGUCAUAUCAGUAUUUACUUUAAUGGAUGCGGAGACUCGACACGCAAAUUCUUUUAAAACACACACAAAAAAUACUUACAAACUGAAGUAAGACGAAACUGCUGGAAGAAAACGAUCUGGCCCGAGGUGACUUCGGAUGUUGCUAUCGAUAUUUAUUUGAGUUCGAAGAUAAAUUAAGCAAUAGGAUAAAUGUAAAAUAUACGAUAAACCAGUCAGUAGAAUGACACAUUUGAUGAAGUUACAAUUUAUUAUAUUCUUCUUUGUGAAGUUUGUUUUUUUUUUAUAUAUAUAUUAACAUUUUACCCAAAAAAAAAGUUUUUUUUUUAUAAAUAUGAAAUAUACAAUUUGGUUAAAUUUGUUUAAUACCAUCAUCACUCAUUCACUUGUACCUCAAAGCCAAUGUUUAAUAAAUCCUUCAUUUUUCAUUCUAAUAAGUAACUAGGAAAUAUAUAUAUGUAUUCUCAAAUAUUGCAGAAUUGUUUUUUCUUUACUGGUGUUUUAUUUGGAUUUUGUACUUAUUUAAAUUAGAAAUAUAUUAAACAAUAAAAAGUUAACCACUUAAGCUAGAAAAAAUAGUUGACCACCAAAAAACACACUUUCAAUUUAGGAGUUCAGGUGAUGUUGAAAGAAAAUGUAAUGUGAGAGUAAAUUUUUUUAAAAAAAUUGAUGAUUUUUUCAUCAGACUAAACAUAAUCUACAAUCGGAUCUGUGUUUAGGUAUAUGAAUCUUUCGUUAGAUAGAAUCGGUUGGGUUUUAUGCUGCUCUCUUGGUUAUUUGAGUCGUUGUUUUUUUUUCUUUUCUGUGUCCUAUCGGUUAUGUGUUUCAUUCAGACCAAACCAUCUAUGUCUUUGAUGGUUUGAAGUUGGACUCUUGAUAUUGUUUACCUUUGGUGAUUAAUACACAUUCGCAGAUGACCAAAAAGAAAAAAAAAACAUAAUCGACAAUCGUUUGGCUUUUUGUUUGGUGUCGGCUAAAAUAAAUUCGCAAAUAGAUGAUGUGUCCCCAUUCCAAAUUUUGCUGGCAUAUUCCAUCCUGAUGCUUAAUAGUUUGUGGACAGAAACUAAGUUUGCUCGUGACCACAUUUGGAACCAAGUGAUAUAGAUAUGGAAGAAAUUUCUAGACAUAUAUAUACAUAUAUAUAUAUAUAUAUAUAUCUCUUUUUGUAAGGAUUUGAUUGCAACUUCAGUUACAAAAUUUCAUAAAAUUAAUCAUGAUACGUAAGUAAAUACUCGACUCGGACUAUAGAAACCCAAAGUGAUAGAAUAAGGAUGCAAAUAAGAACCAAAAGUAUAAUUAUUCUUAACCAUCACCACAUUUCAAAAGUUAGAUUUUGUAAAGAAAUACACUAAAGUUCAAAGUAAUAAUUUUAUUUAUAUUUGAACACUUAACUUUAUGAUAUUUUAGAGUUUUUAUCAUGGGCAUAUUUAAAAUAGCACCAGAUAUUUUGUUAGAAAACUUCAGUUUCAAAUAAGUAUUUUUGAUAUACAGAACUUUAUACAGUUUUUGAUACAUCAAGAUAUUUGAAAACUAUUCAAAUAUAUAUAUUAUUCAUUAGUUUACUAAUAGGCAUUCAAGCCUAAAUUUAUAUCCAGUUUUGAUUUGAUCAAUAAAUAGCUUUGUGUUUUGGAAAAUAAUAUUAUCUAUCUCUUUUAUUACUUCGAUUAGAUUCAUCAAUCAAGAAGCAGAUCUCAAUAGAAGAUUCUCUAGAAAUCUUUGGUUGAACUGACAAAUUCCAAAUAAAAAUUAUCUAAUCUCUUGGUUGAUCUUUUUAUCGUUGCUUCUGUUCCAUCCGUUUUUUUUAUAAAUUUAGUGGGGCUUAUUGGAAUAGGUAUUUGAAAGAAUUCUGGGUUUUUAGCAAAUCUUGCCUUAUUAGAUUUAGUAUUCAUAAAACUUUUUACAAAUCCAUAGUUAUUGGACUUAUCAUUUGUAUAAAUCUUAUUAAAUCCCCCCUUAUUGAAAAAUUGGGAUUUCAUCAAUAGUAUUUUUUUUUUUUUGAUCAAAUAGAAUUUUCAUUCACACAGCAAAGUCUUACACUCCUAAGAAGGAGGGGGAGGCAAUGGCCUCAGCUAAAGCUGCUUUCGCAAGCAUAUCAGCAACAUUGUUUUGAAUACGGGGAAUAAAGGAAAAUGAGAUAAGUUCGAAAUAGGAGCUAAAGAAGUGGAUGUCAAACAGAAUACCAGACAACCCUGGCCUUGUCUCCUUUCCUUUCAGCAGAGUGAUAAGAGUAAGAGAGUCAGAGAGGAUCACGAGGGAUUUGAUGUUUGAGAACGCAGCCGUCAUGACCGCCAAACGAAGUGCGAGGGCCUCAGCCAAUAGUAUUUAUCAAUAAAUAUUUAGGAUUAUUAGAAAAAAGAUUUUACACUUGAAAUUCAAUAGAAAUGAAUACCAUCUAAAGAGAUGGUAUUUUAAAAAAGUCAAUUAUUUCAUCAUCUCUAGGUACAGUUCGUUGCUCUUUUUAAUAGCUUUUUCUUUUUCGAUGAGUCCUUGGAAUUCUGAUGCUUCAUGCUGUUGUGGGAUACUUGAGUGCAUGCUCUGAUUUAUGGAAUUGUAGUGCCUCAGACUCAUGGGAAAUGGAAGAUACUCGAGGGCACGGAUGGAGAAGAUGCAGUGGGUAUUGAUGAAUACAGCGGCGUUUUAAGGCUUUGGGAAGGAAAUGUUGUGGACUGCCUCGACCCCCGUCUUCUCUGCAUCAAAUCUGCUUGGCAUCAUCUAUCUUUCGAAACCCCAAUUGGGUCAUCGAAUUCAUUUCUCCAGAAUUAUUGUCAUUUAUAUAGCUAUUGCUUUUAUUGUUUUGAUUGCAUCAACAAUGUCAAGAUUGAAGCCAAUGUUGCCAAAACUCUUGCAAAACGAAGCACAUGGAAACCUCCAGCAACAGCCUCUUGUAGUAGAAAAGUUCAAGAGAGUAAGAAGAAUGAAUUGGUGAAGUGGACAUUCAUCAUGACUAAACUGAGAAGCAUGAAAAAACAGAAAAAAAAAAUAUUUGCACCAGAGAAGUAUCUAGCUGGUUAUAUACAAAGAUUUUCUCUCUCGUGAUACUUUUGUAUCAGGUGACUUGGUGAGUUUAUAAUGUGUUUUGGGGUAAUGAGGAAGCUGAAGAUAUCCCAUGUAGUACUUUCAUAGAGAAGGAAUGGGAGAUAUUGCAGAAUGACAAUGACCAUGUAACUGGGGUCGUAAGAUAUAUGUUGAGCUUGGUGAUAUCUUUUUUGAUGCAAACACUGAGACCAUGAAAUUAUGACUGAUAAAAAAAGGUAAUGCAAGCAUUCAUAUACCAACUAUGUUGUGUGCUAUUCUCUUAUCUGUAAAUUAUAUGGCUUUCUUUACUGAAUCUGAGAAUAAUCUAGUCCAAGUAAACAAAAAGAAACAUUGCAGGGUUAUGAAGCUAUAUGGGUGGAAGGUUUGAAGAAGAAAGACAAUGAUAAGCACGCAAGAUUUUGAAGCUAUAUGGGUGGAAGAUUUUGAACUAGAACAAGCAAUCCAAGAGAAUUCUAAGCCUCAAAAAAUUACAUUUUCAAUGAAGAGACAGUGGUGGACGACACAAAUGAUGAUUUUACACUAAACCAAAAGAAAAUGUAAUCUUAUGUCAAUUUAUUAGGAAUUUGAAGUUAUAUAUAUUUGUUUUCAAAACUCCUAAAUUCCAGCUAAUCACCCUCUAAAGAUUUGAUCAAAUCCCAGAUUUUCUUUAAAACUCUUCAGAAUUUAUAAAUACUGGAAUUCUUCCAAAUCACCUAUCCAAUAAAUACUGGAACUCUUCAGAAUUUAUAUAUAUAGUUAUUUAUUUGCAUUUUGUGAUAUUUUACAAUAUUCAAGUACAUCGUUUGAUGAAAUAUUCUGAAAGUUGUAAAGGUAAAACUAUAUUUUAUUAGCAUGGAUAGUUAAAGGUUUAGAGUUGUUAUUUAAUGGAAAAUCUAACUUGAUUUCGUGUAUUAGGAGUUUUUUUAUUAAAAAAUAUGAACAUGAAGAUUUUGUGGUAUUUUAAAAUAGUGAUUUCUUUUAUUCGUUAAUCAAUAUUUUCUAUAGAAUAUUAUAUUGUUUCACUUAGGAGUGGGCGUUCGGAUAUCCAUUCGGAGUCGAUUCAGUAGUAUUCCGAUUUAGGAUUUUCAGGGUUACAAGUUUCAAUCCCAUUCGAAUAUUUAAAAUUUUUGAUUUAGGUUCACUUCAGAUCUUGGUGGGUUUGGUUUGAGUUUAGAUUUCCCAUUUAAGUUAUUUUAAACAUUUAAAAAUUCAAGUAUACUUUAAAUUUCUCAAAAAAAAAAUUUAAAAAAAUUAAUAGAAUAAUGUAUGCUAAAAUACCUAAAUUUAACAUCAAAAUUGGUUUAGCUUAUAGAUGAACAAUAUAUAUUUAAUUAUUUUUUGUGUUUUGAGUAUUGUUUGGAAAUUGUAGAAAUUUACUUUUGACUAGUUAUAUAUAUUUCCAAAUAUUUUAGGCAACUUUAAAAUAUAUUAUAUAUUUUAGAUAUUUUAUAUACUAAUAUAAUUAAUAUAUUUAAGUAUAGAAAUAUAUUUGGAUUUUCGCAAUAUUUUGGUUCGGAUCAGGUUUGGUUUCGGUUAUCUAAAUACCAAAAUUUUAAAUCUAUUCAGAUAUCUAGUAAGUUUCUGUUUGGGUUCGUAACUGGCCAGCCAUAGCUUCACUGGUAUUUUUUAUGUACAUAGAUAAAAAGGUUUGAAGUUGUUAUGAGAAAUCUAAAUUUAUUUCUUCUAUUUCAUUUUUUUCAAAAUUUAAAAUACAGGAACAAAAUGAAGAUUUUUUGGUAUGUUAAGAUAGUGAUUUCUGUUUAUUCGAUAAUCAAUUUUUUUUUAUGGAAUAUCCUUUAACUAGGUAAGAUUUGGUUGAAUAUUUUUUAAAUAAGAGAUCACGAUUUUGGUAACUACUGCGUGACUUCUUUAACCGAAGGUGGGUGAUUGUUUUGAUAUUUUAAUAUUCUAAAGGAAAUUUAUUUAAUAUAGUCUUCUGUUUUUUUAUUUAUCUAAUCUGUUUGGUUUGAUUUUACAUUAGGUUCUCAUUUUGGACAUUACAUGUAUACAAUAUGGUAAAAAUAUGUAGAGCAUGUAAGUUUUUUGAGUACCUAAAAUAGUCAUGAUACUGCGUAUAUAAUAUAUGUCACUAGAUUUUGAUCCGCGCUUAGAAAGCGCAGAGUUGUUGGAUUAUAUUAUAAUACAAAAUUUUAUUAUAUCGAAAAACAUAAUUUUUAACAGCUAUAUAAUCUACAAAUUAGUUUAUUUGAGAUUUUAUAUGUACACUUUUACGUAAGUUUCUUUUCGACAUGAGAAUUAUAUCCGGAUCAAAAAACAAACUAAACCGACUCAAAAUUAUAGGUUAGUUCAUGUCCAGAGAAGAUAACCUAUUUUGUUUUUUUGACCCGCAGGUCUUUGUUUGAGUUCGGGUCCUACCCUAGACCCGAUCAUAAAUAUGUGUUUAUUCGGUAUAUUUGGAUAUUUCGAAUAUAUUUCCGGUAUUAUGGAUAUUGGUUUUAAGUUUUUGGUUUACGAUUAGAGUUUUGAUUUCAGGUAAAUUUUUCAAAUUAAAAAAACAAUUGGGUAUUUGGAUAAAAUUUUGGGUAUUUUCCAGUUCAUCGUGUUAGAUUUUGAAUAAGAUUUUAAAUUUUUAGAUAUUUAAAUUUUUUUUGGUAUUUGUUUGGAGUUUCAAAUACUUUUCGUGUUUCGGAUAUUUUUCAGAUUUUUUAUAUAUUUCGAAUUCUUUUAGGAUCUUAAAUACCCGAACAGAUGUGGACCCAUUACGUCCAUAUUAGGUCCAAAAAUUUUUUGAUAUAGAUUUUUAACGUUAUUGUACAAAAACAUGGUUGAAAUAUUUUUCUGAGUAAAAGUAUCAUAAGAAAUAAUAUUAAGAUCUGUUAAAAAUAUUUAAAAUAUUGUAUGUUUAGAAUGAUUAAUGUAUUAUCAGAAAAAUAAUAAAUAGUUAUACAUAACUCCAACAACUUUUUUAUAUUAGAUUUUUUAAAACUCUUUCCUUUUUAAUAGUAUUGAUUGUUGUAAGUGAAAAGUAUAUAAAAGUAUAAUAUCUAAACAAAUAAUUUUCAAAAUCUUGAAUAAUCAAUACUGAUAUCGUGAAGUCGGGUUAGCUUUAAUAGAACCAAUGAAUUUCUUCAUUUUUGUGAAGGUAACAUGAAUAUUCAGAAAAAUUAUUUUUAAAUAUGAAAAUAUUAUCAAACUAUAGACGGUUGAAAGUUUAGUAUAUGAUAUGAGAUUUUAGUGGNNNNNNNNNNNNNNNNNNNNNNNNNNNNNNNNNNNNNNNNNNNNNNNNNNNNNNNNNNNNNNNNNNNNNNNNNNNNNNNNNNNNNNNNNNNNNNNNNNNNNNNNNNNNNNNNNNNNNNNNNNNNNNNNNNNNNNNNNNNNNNNNNNNNNNNNNNNNNNNNNNNNNNNNNNNNNNNNNNNNNNNNNNNNNNNNNNNNNNNNNNNNNNNNNNNNNNNNNNNNNNNNNNNNNNNNNNNNNNNNNNNNNNNNNNNNNNNNNNNNNNNNNNNNNNNNNNNNNNNNNNNNNNNNNNNNNNNNNNNNGGGCAAUUGUCAAUAAUAGCACCUUUUGAAGUUUAUGUCUCAAUAGAUUUUGAUGAAGUAGAAAGUCACAAAAAUGACAUUCAUUAAAGGGUAAAAUAUCCUUAAUACCCUUGGUUUAAAAUUAAAUAACCAAACAAAAAAUAAAUAAAAUAAAAAUAAAAAUAAAAAUAAAUAAAAUAAUUUUUUUUAUAUAGUUUCAGAUUAUAUGUUUUCAGAUUCGAAAUUUUUACAAUUUUUUUUAAAAAAAAAAAUUUCCAAAUUUUUUUUUUAUUUUUUUUUCAAAUUUUCUUUUUAUAAUUUAAAAAUACUUUUUGAAACUGUUUUUAAAAUUUUUAUUUUUUAUUUUAGUAUUUAUUUUUUAUAAAAUCUUGAACCCUAAUUCCAAAACCCCACCCCCUUAACUCUAAACCCUAAGGUUUGGAUUAAUUAACCGAAGGGGUAUAAAUGUAUAUUUACCUCUUUAGUGAAACCUAUUUUUGUGACUUUGAGCCUUGAGUGCUACUCUGGGAACAAAAACUUGGUUUGGUGCUAUCCUAGUCUUUUUCUCUUUCAAUCGUUCCCAAAGUUACCUUGAACCGGUUUGUUCAGAUUAUGAACAAAGGGUUAAUGACUUGCAUGUUCACAUUUGUUUAUAAACAUAUAUCUAAUUGCUUAUACUUGGUUUAUAUGUUUAUUAUUGUUUUAUUAUUUAAGAAUAAAUCGUUCCCACUUUAGAGUAAAUCGGUUUGGUCAGUUUUUAAUUAAUGACUAAACCUCAAAAGUAUAGGUUAAUAAAAUAAGUAAUUUGUUUUGUUGUUCUAUUAUUAGAUGAUUUCUAGACCGAACUCGUAAAUAUAUACUAGAUAAACAUUUAUAUUUCGAGUAUGAACUUAUAUUCUAUAACAGUUUGAUAUAUUAUAUUUGAACAUUAAUCUGUGAAUUAAGUUUUCUGGUGGUAUUCUUCAAAAAUUUGAUUCUUAGAUAUGUAUCUGGAGUGAAAAUAAUUUUUUCAAAUGUCCAUCUUUUUAAAUUGAUACUUAUGUAGUUUACUGAAUUCAAAGAAAAAGUUACAAAAAGAAACAAAAUUCAUAUCAGUGAAACAUAAACGAAAAUGAAAGAACAAUUUUGUAGAUUUAUAAAAUAAAAUCACUUAUGGAGCUCAAUAGUAAACAAAUCGAAAGCAGAAAACCUAAAUUCCUUUCGGCAUUUUACAAUCAAUGUUGCAUAUAUGGUUUUUGUGAUUUGUGUCCGCUACAAAACUUAAUUUUUUUUAUGCAUAUGAAGUUUUAAUAAUAAUUAAAAUGAACUGUAAUACGUUAACUCUUCAACAACAAUUAUACAUUUAAGAAACCAACAUUUGUACUUGGUAUUUUACAAUCGAUAAAGAUUAUAGUGUUACAAAAUGUUAAAACUAUUCAAUGAACAAAUAUUAAUAUAAAAAAUUCAUCUUGCAUAUGCAUCCGGGAUAUCAUCUAGUUAUUUAGUACAAUGGUAAGAUCAUAGGAUGUUUCUCGGUUAAUGAUGAGAAUUAUAUGAUAUGUCUUUAAAUUUAAUGACUUUCUAGUGAGAGUCCGUUUUAAAAUAUCAACAAAAGGUUGCGAUUUAUAUUUUAAUAAAUAAGAUGUAAAUUAUCGGUUUAUAGUCAACUUAAUCCGCUCUGGAAGGGAAAAAAAUUGAGGUCUCGAGUAAUUAACGGACGGACAAGUAGUUGUGAACCCCAACCAAGAGGAAAUAAUUAGUUUUAUAUCUUAAUUACUUCUGAAAUUUAUAUUCUUGAUUUAGACAACAUUUUCAGUUUCUUUUCCCAACAAAACUUUAUUUUAUUUGGUCUUAUUCUCAUCACAACGCUUAAAGAAUGCUCAUGAUCAUCAAAUCAAGAAGAAGAUGGAUCCAAAGUUGUUGUUCUGUUUGCCACAAGGAGAUGAAUUGUUUAACCCCCUUAAUACUCUGUUUAUUCAAAUGGGUUGCAUUCUCGUUUUCUCUCAACUAUUUUACCUCAUGCUCAAACCAUGUGGUCAAGCUGCUCCCGUCGCCCAGAUUCUCGUAAGGAAAUUUUCUUUUUUUGCAUUACAAGAAAUACCCGUUUUUAGGACUCUCGAAUGUUUCAGACUAAUGUGAUUGUUUUUUUUUCUCAGGCUGGUAUUGUGUUGAGUCCUGUUCUGCUCUCAAGAAUCCCUAAAGUUAAAGAGUUCUUCCUCCAGAAAGAUGCAGCAGAUUACUACUCUUUCUUCUCCUUCGUUUUACGAACAUCUUUCAUGUUCUUGAUCGGUCUUGAGUUCGAUAUACAAUUCAUGAGAAGAAACUUCAAGAAAGUCUCUGUAAUAACCUUGAGUUCCUUUUCGGCUUGCAGUCUCCUCAGCCUCGCCUUGGUCUAUAUACUCACCCCUUUGCUCCAUAUCAAAGAGGAUUACUUAACGCUUUUCAUGACUCUUUUCGUUACCUUGUCAAACACGUCAUCUCCUGUCGUCCUCCGUUCAAUUGCUGAUUGGAAACUAAACACAUCUGAGAUUGGACGGCUUACACUCUCCUGUGCGUUGUUCAUCGAAUUAUCAGACGUCGUGAUCUACACUUUAGUCAUAGCCUCCAUCUCUAAAUCUAUGAUAGGUAAUAUCUUCUUGUUUAUUUUCGCCACCGGAGCCCUAAUCUUGCUCAACAAGUUUCUAGCUGCAUGGCUCCCAAAGAGGAACCCUAAAGAAAAGUACCUAUCAAAAGCUGAGACUUUAGUUUUCAUCAUAUUCCUUCUCAUUAUCGCCGUAACAAUAGAAUCCUAUGAUAUUAACUCCUCGGUUUCGGUUUUCACCAUUGGUAUAAUGGUUCCACGACAAGGAAAGACUCACAGAACGUUGGUUCAACGGCUUAGUUACCCUAUCCACGAGUUUGUUCUUCCGGUUUACUUUGGUUACAUGGGAUUCAGAUUCAGUAUCACUGCGUUAACCAAACGUUAUUACAUCGGUCUCGUUAUUAUAGUGAUUCUAGCCUUAGCUGGGAAACUUAUUGGUGUAAUAUGCGCUUGUAUGUACCUGAAGAUCCCCAAGAAAUAUUGGCUCUUCUUACCAACUAUUCUCUCUGUUAAAGGUCAUGUGGGUGUUCUUCUUCUCGACGCAAACUACUCCAAAAAGGUAUUUUCUUAACAUAGUACUCUUGAUGAUUACCGCUACUUUUUAAAACUCUAAUCAUAUUCUAUCACCCUUCACAGAAAAAUUGAUUUUAGAGUAUGCUGUUUUUUACAUUAUCCACGCCAAAAUAACAAAAGGAUCUACUAUAUAGUGAUUAAUAACAUUUAUGAUAGAAUAGAGUUUUCAUAUUAAUAUUAAGUAAGAGAGAUGUUCCAACUCAAAAUCAACUGGAUGUAAGUGGAUGAGUUCAUAUCUCUAGUAUAUUAUUUCAAAUCUUUUUAAUAUUUUAUAUGAAAUUUUGUUUCUAAUACAUCCAUUCGAAAUGAGAUGAUGGUUAUUUAACUAUUAAUCUUAUAAUAUUUAUGUAAAGGUCAAUGCACCAACUUUUUGAAUUAAAUUGAUUAUGAAUUCAAUUGGGUUGGAUGACAUGGAUGUGCUCUGAUACUAUAUAAGUUACUAAAAACCAGUUGACAAUAACUGGGGUAAAUCAUAUUUAUAUACUACUUAUCCUUUCAAACUUUCCAAUUUCUAGUGAGAUUUUGUCCCUGGUAAUUAGACUAUUAAAGAUGGCAUACAAAUAUUAUUUGAUAACAUUGAACUUGUUAUUUGUCACAACAUGCAUAGUUUCGAGUUUUUCAAAAAAUGAUUUGGCUAUAUAUUAGAUGAUUAUUAUUAUGCUAUUUUCACAUUCUUUGUGUGAAUCUGUAUGUAGAAAUGGUGGACAACAACAAUUCAUGAUAUGAUGCUGGCAUCGUUGGUGGUCACGACGCUAGUAAGCGGUGUCCUAGCAUCUUUCUUGCUUAAAGCAAGAGAAAAAGACUUCGCUCCCCAGAAAACUUGUCUUGAAUCUCACGACACUCACGAGGAGCUACGCGUUUUAUCUUGCGUUUACGGAGUCCUGCACGCUCGUGGUACAAUCUCUCUAAUCUCAGCCUUGAGCGGUUCUCAUGGAGCCUCUAAGCCCUUCGCGGCUCUGCUUAUGCACCUCGUACCACUCCCCAAGAAACGAAAAUCAUCAGAACUCUUGUAUCACGAGCUCGGUGAUGACGUGCAUGGAGAUGAUGAGUUUGGAACCAACGAUGGGUUAGAGAUCAAUGAUUCGAUUGAUUCCUUUGCCAAAGACAGUAAACUCUUGAUCCAACAGGUCAAGCUCGUGACCAAGAUGCUUAACAUGCACGUAGAGAUUUGUAACGCGACAGAAGAUCUUCGCAUUUCGAUUGUGUUUCUUCCGUUUCAUAAACACCAGAGGAUAGAUGGGAAGACUACAAACGAUGGAGAGAUUUUCAGACAGAUGAACAGGAACGUUUUAAGACACGCUCCAUGUUCGGUUGGUAUUUUCGUGGACCGAAACAUAACCGGGUUUCAACAACCUCAUGGGUUUGAUUCGGUACAACAUGUUGCUGCAUUGUUCUUUGGUGGUCCUGAUGAUCGUGAGGCUUUAGCUCUAUGCAGAUGGCUAGCUAACAACACUCUGAUUCAUCUCACGAUUAUACAUUUCGUUUCAGAGGAUUCUCAGACAGAGAGUCCUGUCGGGAACACGACAACACAAGACAAUAACAAUGUUUUCAUCGAGGUUGCGGGAAGAGAUCAAACUGAACACGAAGCAGACCGAAGUUUCUUAGAAGAAUUCCAUAACAGGUAACUUACUGAUACUCUUUUUAGUUCAGACCUCAAUUUACGUAACAGAACCUUUUAUGUUCUGCAACAGAUUUGUGACAACGGGACAAGUGGGGUUCAUGGAGAAGCGUGUGAGUGAUGGACCGCAUACGCUGACGAUUCUAAGAGAGAUAGGAGAGAUGUAUUCACUGUUUGUGGUUGGGAAGAGCAGAGGAGACAGCCCUAUGACGGUGAGAAUGAAAGAUUGGGAAGAGUGUCCGGAGCUCGGAACUGUCGGUGAUUUCUUGGCUUCAUCUUUAGAUGUAGAUGCUUCUGUAUUAGUUGUUCAAAGACAAAGACAUUCACAUGAUAACUUUCUAGAUGAUUAGCAAAACAUAUCCUAGUUUCAGCCACUUUUCUAAAAAUCGGUCUGGCAGCGCCUAAAAAUUAAUUCUCUAUAAGACGUCUAAACCACCAACUAGCGAUUUCUUGAACAUUGGUUUCAGCAGACUUCUGUAGGUUUAUGAAGAUAUUACAUUCACAUAUGAAACACACUGAGUAUCAAACGGUUCAGAUCCCUUACAAUAUUAUUCAGUAAAGAAAAAAUAGAUUUUGAUGAAGCUUAAUGUUCAGCAACUAGGGCUAGUCUUCAAGGCUUGGUCACUCUGCUCUUGUGCUUCCAUUGUAUCACAAAGACUUGAACCUUUAGUCUCAGGAAGAAGCAAAGCGAAUAACCCGAGACCCGACACUACUAACCCGAAAACCGCAAAGGAGACCGAAGGCACAUUUCUUCCAACAGAAGCAAUGAUUGGACAACUAGCUCCUCCAAGUACAAGUGAUUGUCUAAGCAUUGUUGUCGCGAAGUUCCUCACGCAUGUUGGGAACAGCUCAAUCAUAUAAACAGCCAUCAAGUUAAACCCUAUCCUCGCGCAGAAGAAAGAGCCUAAUUCUAGAGCAAAAGCAAUGUUUGUUCGCUCGAAAGUGGUCAUGACGAAACAUAGCACUCCUAAUGCUCCUCCUAGUAAGCAGUUCACAAGAACAGAACUUCUUCUGUUGAACUUCUCCAGCAAGAUUGGUGUGAUAACAAAGGUUGGUAACUCCACCAUUGCGUUAAGUGCUUCACUUAGAUAGAUGUUCACUUUUAUGUCUCUAACCGCUAAGGGAACUCCAUAGUACAUCAUUCCUAACCCAAACAUUAUGAUCAUAACAACCACUAUUCUUCGAAAAGCCCAUCUUCUGAUGAACAUGUCCUUGAUGGAGCUGUUUGGUGAUUGUUCUUUUGAAUCUAACCUAGAAGAUACUGAUUCCAAAUAAUCUCUGUUCACAGGUGAAAGUCUUUGGAGCACUUCAAUGGCUUCUUGGUUCUUUCCUUGCACAUGAAGCCAACGAGGAGACUCUAGGGCGAAGAAGUAGAUGCAAACACUGUGGAUGGCUGCUGGAACGGAUGUGCAGAGAUAAAGAACUCUCCAAGAAGCGUGUCUAACAAGGUAGGCUAUUCCAGAUAGAGACAUAAACCCUAGGACAAACAGAGUAAACGGAAUCAUAGUAGCUCUAGGUCUCCAUUUUGUGGAAACUCGCUCGCUUAUCAGAUUGAGUGCGUACGUCCCGGUCUGUGAACGCGCGAAUCCGAUAACGAACUUUAAGAAAGCGUAAGUCCAUAUGUUGGAGGAGAAGAAGAUUGAGAUUCCAGUGAGUGACAUUGCUAGGGUGGUGAAGAAAAGAAGUUUCUUGCGUCCCAAGAAACUAUCCGGAACCAAAGCCAUGAAAACGCCUCCAACGAUAGAACCCAUGUAGAAAGCAGACGUAGGGAGACUUCUGAGGAAGGAGCUCGAGCACUCGAGUUCGAACUCUGAAAUGGCGGAUUUACCCUUGAAUCCGCCGUCCCAUUCCCAAGCUGACCGAGGAAGUUUACAGAUGUCGGUGGUGGUCGAGGGAUUGCAAACCGUGUGGUCGAGACAGUGCCACGUGGGAUAUGCAUCUGUGAAGACGGUGAUGAAUAUCUGUUGCGAGUCGAAGGCUAAGGCAAGCCCGACAAGAAGUAUCUGUAAGAACUGUGGGAAGGUGAAACCAGACAAGCUCUCUUCGAAGAUCUUGUGGAAACUCAAAGAAGGAGAAGUACCUUCGUCUUCAAUAUGGGUUAAUAGUGGUGCUGAUGGAUCCCCCAUUGUUGCUCACUUCAGUUGACUACUCUCUCAGGUAGUGAGAGAAUUAUUAGAUGAAAAAAUAAACAAAGAACUUGGGGAAAGUGUAUAAUCUUGAACCUGGUUGUAUAUUGUUUAUUUAUCAAUAAAAUUUCAAACUCGCAUAAAAUGUGUGGUCGAAGUCUCGAAAGAUUGUGAUCUUAAAUGACACUGAUUGAGAUUUGUAUGUAUAUUGUCUGACCAAUAAAUAAUUGAAGCAUGUGUGUACAUAUUUGCUUAUGUAAGUGCACACGACAUAACAUCAUUCAUGUUAUGUGUCCAUAACUCAUAUAUGGGCCUCUAAGUAAAAGCCCUGUAAAAAGCUAGCUCAAACUGAAACUGAAAUCACCCCUUUGGUUCAUGUCAUGUUCUGCUUCCACUUGUUGCUAGGGUCAGCCUAGGGAAUGGGUCAACUCCUUUUAUUUCUUGUCAUCUCGCCAAGAAGUUAUUAGAAUCAAAUGCUGAGAUCGACCAAAUGGGCACACAAAAAUCUGGAAAAGGACACUUCUGUUUUUAUUUUUUUAAUGAAUUAAUAAUAAAUCGAAAUUAAGCUGAAAAUACUAUAAAACCUAAAACUUUAACUUAUUUACAUAUCCAACCAACCUACCCCACCCACUAACCCGACCCGCGUGCCCUUCCCGGAUCCUUCCCCCUAAAUCAAACUAAAUCCCUAAUUCCUCUUCCCCGACAUAACCAACAGAAAAAAAUUCACGAUCUCUCCCCCUUCCCUCUAUCUCAUCUCACUAAUCAAACUCUACCACAAUCAUCACGAUCUCCCUCUAUCUCAUUUGUUUCUCUAUUUCGUGUUACUCUUUGAAACACUAUGGCUCCAAAGACUCGUUUCACCGAACAAACGAACAAAGAAGGUGCGCCGGAGAAGAAGAAGAAGAAUGAGUCAGUGGUGGAGAAGAAGAAAGCUGCGGUGGAGAAGAAGAAAGCUGAGGCGGAAAAGAAGAAGAAAGACUCUGUGAUAAAGAAAAAACAAGCAGCGGUGAAAAGGAGGAGAGAAGCCGUUAAAAAAAAAAGAGAUGCAGAGAAAAAGAAGAUUGAAACCGCAGAGAAGAAGAGGAAGCGAGACAGUGGUGUAGACGAUGAGUCCUCGUCCAAUCCAACCAAGCGGCCUCAGACCGCAUCUUCACCAGAACAUCAAGCCGAUCCUGAUCAUUAUCCGCCACUAUCAACGGAGUUACCUUCGCAGGAUGAUAGAGAGGGUACGCCAAGCCCAUCAGUUCCGAUUGAGCCACAAAAAUCACCUACUCAAACACCCAAUGAGGCGGAGAAUCCACUGCAAGCUCCAAUAACUUCUACCAACAGAGAAUCAGGCUCACCCGAGGCUGCCAUUAACAAUGACGGGCAAACGGUAAACAAAUCAAUUAAAAUGGUUUUGGAAUUUUUAUGAUAAAAUUGGACUAACAAAUAGGAACCGUGAGCAGAUUGGAUCUAACAACAUAGAUUCAAAUUCACAUGAGGCUGCUAUUGGAUCUGCUGCCAUUGACAACGACGCUCCAAGAACGGUAAACAAGUCAACUUAAAUGGUUCUAGAAAUAUUUAUCAUAGGGUCGAAAAAAAAAAUAAGUAGUGAUUAUAUAAGAAGUGUAACUAGUACAACUAAAAGAAUGAAACUAGUUCAACUGGUAAUAAAAUGUUGUAAAACAGAAUCAAUGGAACUAGUAUAACUAGUACAACCACACUUCUUAUAACUAAUAUAACUGGUAUAACUAUGAAAAGUAUAAUUAGUCUAACUAAUACAACCGAGUAUUAAAUUACUAGUACAACUAAAAGAGUGAAAAUGGUGCAACUGGUAAUAAUAUGUUGUAAACAAAUUCAGGAUAACUAGUAAAUUUUUUUUUAUAAGUAAUAUAACUGGUACAACUACGCUUCUUAUACGUAGUCUGACUAGUAUAACUAGAGAAGUAUUUUGUAUAACUGUUUAAUGAGAUGGUGUUGUUGUUGUAUAACUAGGCUUGCUGGUAGAACUAGUAAUAUUAUUUUUAAUUUAAUUAGUGUAACUGGUACAACUAAGUGUUUAUGUGUUGUAUAACUCAGUUAUUUAUUCUUUGUAUUUUGUUUGUAUUUUUCAGGUUGAGAGUGAUGAUAUGACCGUAGAAGCUGACAGACCUGCUGGUUUUUUCUUCAAUCCGAGCAACUAUGGAAAGGGUUGCAAGCUCUCCUCAAGGUGCCAUCAACACGAUUUUCUGAACAAGACGAUUGGUAAGUUGGAUGCCUCAGAGAAGAGUUGGUUUCAGGAACAUCCUCAGUUCAAGCAUAUAUUCCACAUGGAUUGUACCUCAACAAGAAAAGUGAUGGGAUUGUGGAUGUUGCUACUUCGUACUAUGCAUACAGAGAAGGGUCGACAAGCUUGGUUUGGGGUAAACGGUGUUCCAAUUAGAUACUCUAUCAGGGAACAUAGCCUCCUCUCUGGUUUAUACUGCCACUCAUAUCCAGAAAACUAUCAGAGCAUAGGGAGACUGAAGUUUGCGAGAAAGUAUUUUAAAGUGAAGAAGACAAAGGAUGGGAAGGAAAAGGGUCUGCAAGUGACAGAAGCGGAUGUUAAGGAGAAACUUCAGAAGAUGAAAUUUGAUGGUAGUGGCGAUCGUCUGAGGAUGGCGGUUCUUUACUUUCUGGCUACAGUUUUAAGAGGAAGGUCCAAAGCAGGAUACUUCAUUGAGUAUUUCCUUCUCCAAGCAGUAGAAGAUUUGGAGUUUUGCACCGAAUUUCCAUGGGGCCGUUACACCUUUGAUGAUUGCAUGAAGGAGAUUUUUCAUGUAAGGGAUCAUUUUCGUGAUGGGAUCCCAGAGCAUGCACAGUGGGUAUUUCCUGGGUUUAUCAACCCUUUGGAGGUAUAUGAAUAACAUUUUUCAUAAGCAUAUUUGUUAUAAUAUAACUAAAGUGAUUGUGUGAAAUGAUGUGCAGAUAUUAGCAUUUGAAUGUAUCCCUGUCCUUAGGGAAAGAUUCAGAGAGCCUGUUCCAAACUGUUUUGAUGGUUGUCCAAGAAUGUGCAAAUGGAAGUUCAAGAGGACCGGAACAACAGGAUUUCCACUUGACAUGAUUUAUCGGACGCUAGGAAACACAAAGGUAAAAGCUUAUAAUUUUUUUAAGUGUUGUUUAUGUCAUUUUCUUCAAGUUCAUAGUUAAUUAAAUGUGUAAUUUGUUGUUGGUCAUUUCAGGAGAUUAUCAGUGUUUUGGAACCAAAAGGAAAUGAAGUAGACCUUUUGUAUGAAAUAAUGGAUGAAGGGACUUUUGAAGACUUGGAGCUGAUAGAUGAUUCGGAUACGCUAGACAUAGCUGUUGACAGUUGGAACAAGAUCCUAAUGGAACCAGGGAAAAAAAUCUUCUGGCCGGAUCUAUAUGAGAUGGAUGUGAGAACCCGAGAGCAACAAGAGGAGGCAGGAGGCGAGGCAGGGGGCGAGGCAGGAGGCGAGGCAGGAGGAGAGGCAGGAGGCGAGGCAGGAGGCGAGGCAGGGGGUGAGGCAGGAGUUCAAACAGGGGGCGAAGCAGGUCGUGAGAGUUUAAGAGAAUUAGAGUUGAAGUUGAACAAAAGAAUGGAUGAUGGAUUUGCAUUGAGAGACGAAACAAUUCGUCUUCUGGAAGCAAGAGUAAAGGAGUUGGAAGAAGAAAAAAUCCAGAGAGAAAGUUGGUCGUUCCAGGAGGGCGAGAUGUAUGGUGAUAAGGAGGCUGAGAUACUUGGUGAUAAGGAGGGCGAGAUGCAUGGUGAUAAGGAGGGUGAGAUACAUGGUGAUAAGGAUGGUGAUGAGACUAACAAGGAUGGUGAUAAGGCUGAUAAGGAUGGUGAUGAUGAGCCUGAUAAGGAGGGUGAGGAUGGUGAUGAGGCUGACAAGGGUGAUGAGGCUGAGAAGGAUGGUGAGAAGCAGAUUGAGGCAGAGGCUGACAAGGGUGAUGAGGCUGAGAAGGAUGGUGAGAAGCAGAUUGAGGCAGAGGCUGACAAGGGUGAUGAGGCUGAGAAGGAUGGUGAGAAGCAGAUUGAGGCAGAGGCUGACAAGGGUGAUGAGGCUGAGAAGGAUAGUGAGAAACAGAUUGAGGCAGAGGCUGAGAAGGAUGGUGAGAAACAUAUCGAGGUAGAGGCUGAGAAGUUGAUGCAAGGUAAGUCAUGAUAACAUAUAACUUCAAAUUUUAUUUUUAAUGAUGAUGAUCUAAGUCAGGAUGUAUUUUUGUUCAAUGUAGAUACUGAAGAUGGAGAUGAGCAAUCUACACUUCAAAUUAUGGCAGACACUGCAGAGAGAUUUGAGAAGGCUGCUGCGGAAAAAGCUGUUGUGGACAAGACAGAUGAGGUUGUAGAUGAUGAUGCUUUGGAGAAGGAAGGUGAGGUUAGAGUUGAUGACGCUUUAGAGAACACAGCUUCGGUUGGAGAUUCACAGGAUCCUGCUGAGAUGCCAAAGAGGGUGCCCAAGCGUUCUCAUUUGUUGAGGUCUCCUUUUACGCCAAACUGAUUUGGCUGAACUAUGUUGUUGUUUUUGGAACUUGUAUGUGUUUGUUUUAAAACCUAAAACGGAUGAACUUGUAUGUGUGUGUGUUUUAAAACCUAAAACUUGUAUGUGUGUGUGUUUUAAAACCUAAAACUUGUAUGUGUGUGUGUUUUAAAACCUAAAACUUGUAUGUGUGUGUGUUUUAAAACCUAAAACUUGUAUGUGUGUGUGUUUUAAAACCUAAAUCCAAACUUGGUGGUUGAACAGGUUGCAAUUACAGGUGGGAAGUAAAACAACAUUACAGCAUCAACUAUGCCAAAAAAUAUGAAAGUAGUAUAACUAGAAAAACUAGUACACCUAGUGUUAAAUUAAAAAGUGUAGGACUUAUCUGGGAAUCCACUUAUUUGAAACUCAUUAUGCACACAAAGUUGUUUUAGUUUUUUAGUUGUACUGGUUUCUACAAAGUUGUACUAAUUUAUUAGUUAUACUGGCUUGCACAAAGUUGUACUAGUUUAUUAGUUAUACUAGUUUGUACAGAGUUGUACUUUGGCAGUGAAACCUGAAUAUAUUAGUUGUACCAAAGAGAAAUACCAUUAUCUAAGUUGUACCACUCAUUUAUGUUAACAUGUGUUUGCCCGGAUACAAUGAAAUCAUCACUAUUGUGAAAAUACUUGUCAUGUAUGUUUUUCAAAAAAUAUGUGGACAAAUAUGUUAACAAACCUUAAAAGUAUAAGGUAGAUCAAGCAAACUUUUGUGAUGGAGGUAGAAAUCCAGAAAAAAAAAAAAAACAAUACAAAACACAAAGAAACCUAUCCAAACACUUAAAAUUAGACCAUUUGAAUGUUUUAUUAAUAUGAAAAAACCUAAAAUAAUAUUUAAAUUUCAGAUCCUCCAUAGUUGUACUAGUUAUUCCAGUAGAACCUAUUUUAGUAAACUAGACAUAGUUGAACUAGUUAUUCCAGUAUAACUUAUUUUUAGUUUUACUAGUUGUACCAGUAUAACAACACAAAAACAUGAAUGUUAGGUUUAAUGAAGUUUUACCAAUUGUACCUGUUGUACCUGACAGAAACAACACUUGAGCCAACUACGGGUGAUUUGUUUAAGGCCAGGUAUGCGGAUUAUCACUUUGAUGAAUCCGAACAUCCAACAUUAGGGGGAGAUAGUAGUAAGAUGGUAAAAGAAAUUACAUGGAAUCAAACAUUCUUAUCUUGGCAAGUUCCUCGGACUCAGAAAUGUGAUUUAGAAGUCAAAAAGAUAAUACAUUUACAAAAGCUAGCUAAUCAAUUGUCAGAUUCCUUUUGCUGACCCGAAAAGAGUGACUAAGUCAUAUAUACCAACUGCUAAUGCACCAAUUUGAAUUGAUGUUCAAGAGGGACACAGUCAAGUUGCUACAGAGUCUAGACAACGUUUGAAACGUGGUAAACCAAUAGGUUCCAAAGAUAAAAACCCUCGGAAAACAAAGAAAUGUGCAGAUAAUGAAACCGAGGUUGUUGAAACCCUAGACACGACCGCGGCCGUCCCUAAAUCCCGAGACUUAGCCGCGGCCGAUUCCAAAACCCUAAUAGCGAUCACGGCCGAUCAUAAAUGCUUAGAUGCGGCUGGUCCUUAAACUUUCUGGCAACCCCUUUCUUGUUAACUUUGCUGCAUGCUCCGGCAACAUUAUUAGACAAGUGAAAAAUGCAAUAUCCAUGGAUCGCCAUUGGGUACACCUCGUGCACCUUCUUGAUGAUGCAUUGGUUUCUAUCAGUACAAAAAACAAGCUGAGGAUCAUCUGGUAUCAAAGUUUUCAGUAUAGUCAAAAACCACUCCCAGCUCGCAUUUUUCUCACCAUCUACUACCGCAAAAGCGAGGGGAUAAUGAUGAUGAUCUGGAUCCUGAGCAGUGGCAAUGAGAAGCACUCCUCCAUACACACCCUUCAGGUGAGUUCCAUCCAUUAUUAUCACUUUCCUCAUUGCUUGAAACCCUUCGAUGCAAGCUUUAAGCGCAAAGAACAUAUACUUAAACUGCUUCUUCUCAUCCACUACUAAUCUUGUGAUGGUACCAGGAUUCAUUCUUUCUAACAUGUACAAGUAAGAUGGAAGUCUAGCAAAACUCUCCUGAGGGUUACCACGCAAAUCACUGACAGCUUUGUGUUUCCCUCUCAAAGCUGUAGAAUAUGAAACCGUGACACCUAGUUUGUUCUUCACCAACUUUAUGAGAGACUUUGGAUCUGGAGUCUUGUAUUGGCCUGGAUAAUCUUCAUGCACCACUCCUGCGACCAAGCUUGGUGUUCCUCUUUUCCCCCUCUUGGUUACACUUCCCUCUCCCCGAGUACACGUAUGCAUCUUUCUAUACGUUCUGACACUGAAAAAGGCUGAGUUUUUCAGCCUUGCAGCUCGUAAAUACCAUCUGCAUCCAACCCCACGACAUUUCAAUACAUAAACAGUACGAUUCGUCUUGAUUAUAUCAACCUCAAAACAAUUCGAAUGCACUCCUGCGUCCACUAAAUUCCUCAGCUCUUCCUUAGUCGCAAAUUCUUGAUACAAACUCAUAUCAAUACCAUCAUCCCACUCAGCAUUGACAAUUGUGUCUACAGAUGGUGUAACAGCCGGCAACUCCUCCCUAUCAUUCAUUUCAUCACCCUCUUCAUUGCAAUCCUCAUGCUCAUACCUAUCUGAUUGUCUUGGAGGAACAAUUGCUAACUCCUCAUGAUUAUACCCAUCUGAUUGGUUUUGAGGAACAAUUGCCAACUCCUCAACUCCAGCCAUACCAUCAUUAGCUCUGGCAUCAAUCUGAAUUUCCUCGUUCAUAGAAAACUGCUCGUUACUCUGAUUUUCUGAGAUAUUUUCGGAAAACUCCACAUGCAAAACACUACGCCGGUUUUUCCUAUCCACCUCCAUUAAAUAUCCUAAAACAUCUUCAUCAUCCAAAAUAUAACAAGGCCUCUUAUUAUCCACGACCAGGGGAUAGUAGCUCAGUUGAAGCUUCGUCGCAGCUACAUCGAUAUUCAUUUUCUUGCCUAUUCUAUCAACCAAGCGAGAAUAGGUUAUCUCCUCAUAUUUUCCUCUCAUUACUAAUGUAUAAAUAUUUUUGUCUCCACCAUGAUCAAAAUGUAUCACCACAGCUCCAGUACCAUCCAUAGUUCCUGAAAAGAGUUAAAACCAACAUUACAGCUUACAAGUUAUAUCAGUUAUACGAGUUCUAAAGUCGCUAAAAUACGGGUUAUACUAGUAUUACCAGUUAUACUGGUUUACAUGUAACAGUCGUUUAUAAGUUAUACUAGUUAUACUAGUAUUUGACUUGUCAAAGGACUACUAAGAGUUAUACAAGUUUUACCCAUAGUCUUAUUCAGUGUUACUUAGAGUUGUACCAGGUUUACUAGUUGUACUAGUGUUAUUCUUAACGAGUUUUACCAGGUUUACCAGGUGUACUCAACGUCUGUUGUACCAGUGUAACCAAUGUAAAAAAUGAUUUAAUCUACAAUAUCAUGAUUCAUACUAUAAGAACGUUAUCUUAAACCAUGGAACCUGACUCAUAAUGGUAACAUACAUAUUAUGGGACUAAAACUAAACAGAAAACAAAUAAAAAAGAAGAGAAGAGUGAGAGAGAAGGAGAGGGAGAGAGUAUACACUUACCAAGCGAUUUCAAGACCAAGGACGAGGCACAUUUGCUGUUUCAAGGACGAGAAAAGCUGUAGAAGAACCCUAAGAAACAGAAUUAAAGGUUUGUGGAUAAAAACUUGAAGAAGAGAACUUUGGUUGGUGAUUGAAAUGAAUUUUCGUGGGUGGUUGAGUAAUGAAGAAGAUGAAGAUGUGAGGGAGUUAAUAUGGAUUUUGGGUGGGACCCAGGCGAGAGAAAGAGAAAGGAAGAAGAAAAUUGGACGACCGAGAUUAGAGUUUCCAUUAUUUGAUCCAAUGGUUCACAUGCCACUUUCAUUAAUGGCAAAUUGGUAAUUUACCAGCCCUUGGUCCAUGAUAGAUCACAAUUGGUCUAUGUAGACUUCUUUUUGUCUUUUUGGUCUGUUAUAGAUCAUUGUCCAAGUUAUUAGGACUUUAAUCUCAAAUGGGACAAAUAGGUGAAAAAAAAUCUACAACCACCUAUUUUAAUCUAUAUGGGACGAUAGUUAGAAAAUUACAAUAUUGCCAUUAAUGAAAGAACAAUAUGAGCCAUUCGAUUUUUUUUUCUCUUUAAACUAGAGUCGUCGGAUCAUGAACAUAAAAAAAAAAUAUAUGAUAUUUACGAAAAUGCCAUUAAUGAAAUAUCAAUCAUAACCAUUAGAUCAUCUUGUCUACGAUUUAAUCAUAGCCACACGAUUACAUCUAUCUCUCCUUCUCUCUUCUUUCUUAAUCUCAACCGCAUGAUCAUUUCUUCCUUCUUCAAUUACAACCAUAGGAUCUUCCUUAUCUCCUUCUUCAAUUCGACUGGAUAUAACUAAUAUAACUCGUACAACUGAACAUGUUAAGAAAUUUUAUAACUGGUAUAUAAAUGUUAUAAUCUAUAUAUAAUAUGUAGCUACUAUAAUUAACACGACUAGUAAAUCAUGUUUUAUAUAUGAAAUAAACAAACAAAUAUCCUAAUUUUUUUUUUUGAAUUGAAUGUUAAAUUUAAUUCAAAAAGAAAAAACAUUGUUACAACUAUGUGUGUCUUUUCCUAGAUUUUUCUAUACAAGAUUUGAUAAAAAACAAAUAGGAAAUUCUUUCUUCAACUCUUCUUAUCUACCUCCUCAUAACAUCCAUCUACCUUCUCAAAUCUACCCAGCUCUCACUCCUACUGGGCACCUAGUUCUCAUUCCUACUAGGGCUCCUUUAUCUUGUUGAAAACCAAAAUUGUAACCCUCCUGCCAGCUUCUUAUCCCCCUUCUUUUGAAUGAUUGAGAACUUAUUUCUCACAGUCUUGUCAAUCAGCUUGGUAAUGAGAGCAGGAGGUGAAGCUGCCUCGCUAUGCCUUCUCCUAUUUCUCUCUCUCCAUAUGCUAUGAACUGUCACUUGAAACAAGUAUCUUAUUGUAAAGAGAGUAAUACUAGCCUAACUUUCAUCAAUAUGAAUCCUUGUUAUCUCAUUCCAGCUCACAGUAUAUCUAUCAUUCAGUAUCCCCUUUGCUACCCCUUUCAAAUUUGCUCUGAGAAAGGACACUCAAAGAAAAGACGAUGAACUGACUCCAUAGAUGCUUGGCAAAAAAUACAAGCAGUAUCAACAUUCAGAAACGAAAGCUGAUGUUAAGGCGAAUCGUGAACCAAUUGAAUCUGAACUUAAUGCUUGUCAUCAUUCUCUGAUCCAAACGACAGUUUAGGCAUUAGGAUUGCUUGAUAAAUUGGUAGACACCACGACAGUGGGUUUAUCUAUUCUUGUUGUUCAAGUUCUAGAUUGGCUCGUAUUGUUUUCCUGAAUAGUUGUGUAGCUCAUGAUCCUAAGUAUCCCAAUGAAUCACCCUGAACCUAGCUCUUUUAAUCAUCUGAAAACCUUUUAACUAGUCUUUUAUUUUCUGUUAUAAUACCUCAAUCUUAAAACCCCCAUAUUGUUUUAGCUUAAUAUUGAUCCUAUAGAAAUAAAGUGUAACAGUUGGUCUCUGUGGAUUCGAUCCUAAAGUGCUACAUCGACAUACCAUUCGAUUGUGGUAGUGUGCACAUUAGGUUAUUUGGUGUGCGUAUACACGUAAUAUCAGAUUCCAAUAUCCUAAUUUUUAUAUAAUGAUAAAAUUUCAUAUGUUUUAUUUGAGAUUUAUCAACUAUAUUAGUCAUAUUAUAAUGAUAAACAAACAUCAAACAUAAUUUUGCAAAGCUAAGAAGUGAAAAUAUUGAUAUCAUUUUUAUUAUAUAUUAAAUGAGUAUUACUGGUAUAACUGGUACAACUUUGACAUUUCAUAAAUUUGACAAAACCAAUUUGGUAUUCCAUAUGAGAAAAAAUAAUCAAAUAUCUCAAUUUGUAUGUACUCAUAAGUUUCUCUUAAUUUAUUUGAUGUUUUGGAUUUUUUUUUUUCAAAAUUAUUACAGAACUCCACAAGCUUACAUGAUCUACCUUAUACUUUUAAGGUUUGUUAAUUUGUUUGUCCACUAAAUUUUUGGAAAACAUACAUGAAAUGUAUUUUUACGAAAUUGAUGAUUUCAUUGUAAUCGGGCAAAAACAUGUAAACAUAAAUAAGUGGUACAACUGAUGUAAUUGUAUUUAUUAUGUGGUACAACUGAUACUUUACGAUUUCACUGCCAAAGUACAACUAUGCACAAACUCGUACAACUCAAAGACUAGUACAACUAUGUACAGCCGGUACAACUAGAAAACUAGUACAACUACUUGUUAUUUUAUUUAUUAUAAAUGACUAUAUUACCCUUGAUGAAAAUGCAUCCUCAACCAUUAGAUCAUCUCACCUCUUAUAGUCUGAACCACACGAUCUUUCUUCUCUCCUUCUCUCUUUCGGUUGGGACCCACUUCCUUUUUCUCUCAACCCUAGAUCAUUUUUCCCUUCUUCGAUCAUGGCCACACGAUUUCUAUCAUUUGUAUGUGUAUAACUAAUAGAACUUGUACAACUAAACAAGCUAACAAAUGAUAUAUGUGACACGCCUGUGAAAUAAACAAACAAAUAUCUUAAUUGGUUAAUGGUGACAAAAUUUCAUUUAUUUUAAUUGAGAGUUUUCAAUAUUUUGUUUUAUUUACCAAAUGGAGAUGCGGUUUCUCUCUCGCGUUUCCAAGCCUGCUUGGUUAGAUUUGACGAGGACCACCGUGGACACCACCAUCGAGCUUCCUCUUCUUCUUCAUGACUUCACUAUUCUUUGUUGUAUCUAUCUUCUUAUUCUUCUUCUUCACAGUGUAUUUAUUCUUCUUCGUAGCGACACCUCUCUUUUUCAGAGUAGAGUCCUUUUUGUUCAUUGCCAAUGAGUCAUUCUUACUCAUCGUCAACACUCCCUCUCUCUCCUUUUUCAGGUGACUCGUGUAUUUGGAACCAUGGUUAAUUUUUUUUUUCUGGUUCCGUAUCUACCUUUUUGGUCUCGAGAGCAAAAAUAUGAAGAUGAUUUUUUUCGAAAAUAGCACAACUAGUAUAACUAGUACAACUUGUAACAAAUCAUUAAUCAAAUAUUAUUAAAAACAUACUAUUCAUGUAUUUAAUACAUGCAGGCAAGGAAGAUUAGACUAACAUGUCUUCUUGGUUCUACAUCAUCAUUUUUUAAUCAUUUUCAUACUCUGAAAACAAAAAAUAAAAAUCACUAUUCUCUAUUAAUUGCAAAGUUGUACUAGUUAUACAUGUUUUACUUGUAUAAGUUAUAAUGGCUAUACCCAGACUAUUUAUACUAGAUAUACUCAUUGUAGUUGUACUAGUUGUAUCAAUUUGAGUUGUACUAGUUGUACUAGUUGGAGUUGUACUAGUUGUCUUAGUAAUACUAUGCGUUCUUCUCUAUCUUCAAUCUCGUAAAUAAAAGAUGAAAUUUGAUUCUAGAUAAGAUAUAAUUGAUUAAACAUGACUAUGGGUUGAUCGAUUUGGGAUAAAAAAAAGAGAAAUUUGGUGGAUUAUUAAAGAAAAUUUUUGAUUUUGUUUUAAGGUGGAAGAAUAUUAAUGGAGAAGAAGAAGAGAAAGAAGAAGGAGAUUAGGGUUAGAUUGGGUCGGAUUUUGGGUCUGGAUCCGGGUCAAAUCUGAAUAGGAUAGUCAUGACACAAACUAGUAAAUAUGUUUAAUCUUUUAAGGUCUUAUGGUCUUUUACCCCCAUUUUUUAUUUAUUUUUAAUAUAUUUUUUAAUUAAAAUAGAAUAGGUCCAUUUUAGAUUUUUUUAUCCCCUUUGUCCUAUACCAGCAUUUGAUCCAAGUUAUUAUGGAAAAGAGAAAUAGCAAAUACAGAAAGUGACUAUCAAAGUGAAUAGUGACGAUAAAUUUUUGGCUUAUAAGGCUAACCAUCUUCAUCUACCGUUCACCACCAUGCUCACUAGUGACCUACCACCUUGUGUUGAAAGUUUGAAAGACGACCGGAUAUACUAGGAUGAAACGUUUAGUUUGAUCCUCAAAUCUUAAAGAGUUAAUAUACAUUAUAAUUUUCAUUUUUGUCACUAAAUGUUUAUAGUUUUUGUUGAAAUGAAAUGGAUAUUCAAACACGAAUUAUGUUAUAUGUUAUAUUAUUUAUUUAUAUAUUCACUGGGGUUCUAUUGUCUUUUAUAAUACAAUAUAUAUUCUCCUUUUAGGAAAAAAAAAAAGAAGAAGAAGGGGGGGAGAAAAUGGAAUCCAAGGCCCAGAUCGUACGUAAUGAGGUGCCUACAGAUGAUUGUUAUUUAACUUGCAUGGGAAAAUGUGCAUAGACCAUCCAUGAGACCGUUACCUUUAUUACUUUUAUUUAUUUAUUAUGAGUACUUUAGUUUGCUUAACAACCAUAAUAAUUAGCAUAUGAUAUGCGUACAAACAUUAACUUUUGUUACUAAUGGUAUUAUUUAUUUAAAAUUAUGCAAUAGAAGUAAAGCCACGAUCAACAUGCACGUUUAGGCAUGUGAAACGCGAAAGAGAUGCACAGUGAGAUGGAUAAAUACUUAAAGCACUGAAUACUUGUAAUAUUUAACUUAUGGUUGGUAUUGUGACUGAAUAUUCACUGUACAUGCAUCAUAUUGACAUCGUCAUUUCAGAUCUAUGUUUUAUAUUAGGCAUAGGCGUAUUUAUAUGUAAUUGAAGAACCAAACCAAACAGAAAAAUGAGGUUCAGUUCAUACUAUGAUCCAAACAGAUCAUAUAUUUUGAGAACUGAAAAGCAAAAAUCAUACUUAAUGAUUACCAAAAUUUAUAUAAUAUAGGUUACGUACUUAUAAAUAUUAAUUAUAUUUAGUUUUAAAAUAUUUUACAUAUUUAUAAAAUAAUAUUUAUAAAUUGAAUCACCCAAAGAAAUCAAAUUAACCAGAUACUUUUUAUUCUAAAUAUUUUUUAAAAAAUUAUCUGAAGUAUCUGAUUUUUUUUUCCGAAAAUUCAAAUUGAUAUUUGAUUAAAAAUUUGAAUUAUUCGAUUUUUAACCCAAACUAACUGAAAAGCUAAAACUGAACCGAAACUAAAUUAUACCCAAAAUUAUUUUAGAGAUAUUACUGAUUCUCAACUUCGGUAUCCAAAACGAAAACUGAAAUAAUUGAAUCCCGAAACGAAAACCUAGAUAACCAAAUCAAAACCAAAUUAAAUUUCCUAAAUAACACAUGGUAUAUCUCAAGAGCUAAAUAACCGAAAUAAACCAAACUGAAUUGAUAUCUAAAAUUCCCAUGCCUAUUUUAUAUAAUGCAUCUUCAACCGACGUUGCUUAUCGAACCAUAACAACUAACUCAACGCUAAAAACACUAUAUACUACUAUUAUAUUACGUUUAUAAAUAUAUACAUAUAUAAUCAUUCUUUAUAGUGUUGAUAUAGCACGCGUUUCAGAAACAAUAAUCAAACGAAAUUAUUUGAUAUUUCAUUUAAUUUUUAUUAAUUCGCCAUGGCAUUUCCCGUCUCCUGAGUAUUAAUCCAUAUAUUGGAAAUUACAAAAGGUCAUGUUAAUUAUCACUCGACUAAAAAAAUAAAAAUAUAGAGUUGUAUUAAUUUAAUAAUUUGUUGUGGUACAAAAAAAUCUAUCUGGAAGAAAUGCAUGGAUAGAGUAUAGUAUAAAAUGUCUGGAUUAAUUAAUGACAUGCAAAUUGAUUUUCUUAAUCUCAUUAAAUAGAUUUGAUAAAUAGGAUAACAGAGGAACGUAAUUAGAGAGAGGUGUGGGGCUAGGUAAAAGGAGAAGAGAAGCUUCCUCGAGAAGUGCACACAUGGGAGUGCGUUUAUAUCUCUAUCUGUAUAUGCUUCUCCUUCAAUCCUUCUCUUUUUGCCUUUUGUUUUCUCAGCUUUUAAAGAGAGAAGAGACUGAGAGAGCUUUCUCUUUUAGAUGCCAGUGAUGACCAGAUCUUUAUAUUUUUCUAUCUCUAUAUAACCAACAAAGCCAAUCAGUAUAUAUAAUAGUACAUAAUGAGCCGUAAUUUGAAUUUUGUUGUGACUAAUUAGAUGCGUUUAUCGAGUAAUUAAACAAAUGUCAGUCGUUAUCAAGGCAAAACUUUUGAUUUACAAACACUUUAAUUAAUUAAAAGUUUAAGACUUAAGACCGAAUGUACUAAUAUUUGAACUUAUUGGUGGUCAUAUGAAGAAAAAAGAAAGAAAGAAAAGAAUAAAGAACAAAGAUAACUACGGAAGGAAAGAUAGAUACUCAGUGUCGGUUAGUUUCUUAUGACAAGUUCUUUUGUUUCCUUUCUUUUGGAAAGGAUGUUGUAGCUAUCAAUCUCUACACAUCCAUACUUACUUACUUAGACGUAUGAAAUCAAGUGACUAUAUACAUUUGAAUCAAAGUGUACAGCUUUUCUUGCUGUUUGCAUGUGGAUUUCCCAAAACCCUAAAAACCUUUUGCUUUGAUGGGGAUCAUCAUCAUUGUAACUAUCUCUGUCCUUGACCCUAAAAAAGAAAAAAAAAACUAUCUCUGUCCUUCUUUUUCUUAUUUACUCAUUAGUUUUUUUUACCAUACUUUAAUUUUAAGUGUGGUUUGAAUUUUAGUUUCCCGAUGCAGAUAUCCCAUUUUAGCGUAAUCAUAUAUAGGGCAUCAAAGUACAAAACUAACUUGAGAUAGAAAUAACUAACUCAUGAAAAAGCAAACGAAUUCAGCUAAUAGCUAGAUCAUUGCUUAUGAGGUCUAAGCUUCCUAAAAUAUCGUACAUGCCUUGAAACAUGAGCGAUCUCUAUUCGGUACCCAUAAAUGUUAAUUAUUUUUCCUACAAAUGUUACGGUCCUGCAUGGGGUAUAUAUAUAUACUGGUUAAGGCAUAUUACAUGUGAUAUACAUAUACUGGUUGAAUAUAUAUAUUUAAACUUUUGUAAAUCGUACAAAAAUAUGUAAAAUAAAAUCACGGAAUUAUUUUCAAACAUCAAAAACAAACUACUAUCAAACAUAUAAUAGUAAAAAUAGUUUUUUUUUUUGGAGAAAUUAUCACUUUGAUGAAUCCGAACAUCCAACAUUAGGGGGAGAUAGUAGUAAGAUGGUAAAAGAAAUUACAUGGAAUCAAACAUUCUUAUCUUGGCAAGUUCCUCGGACUCAGAAAUGUGAUUUAGAAGUCAAAAAGAUAAUACAUUUACAAAAGCUAGCUAAUCAAUUGUCAGAUUCCUUUUGCUGACCCGAAAAGAGUGACUAAGUCAUAUAUACCAACUGCUAAUGCACCAAUUUGAAUUGAUGUUCAAGAGGGACACAGUCAAGUUGCUACAGAGUCUAGACAACGUUUGAAACGUGGUAAACCAAUAGGUUCCAAAGAUAAAAACCCUCGGAAAACAAAGAAAUGUGCAGAUAAUGAAACCGAGGUUGUUGAAACCCUAGACACGACCGCGGCCGUCCCUAAAUCCCGAGACUUAGCCGCGGCCGAUUCCAAAACCCUAAUAGCGAUCACGGCCGAUCAUAAAUGCUUAGAUGCGGCUGGUCCUUAUGUACCUAACACUGAUGCUUGGGACGCCAAGCUUCAUGGUACUGAUGGUCUUGAUAAUAAUGAGAUCUCAAUAAAUUAUGUCUUGUCUGGGAUACAAUGGAACAGAAAGAAUGUCGACAUUGAUGAUAUAUUUGCAUGCAAUGUAGCACUUGAAAUCAUGGAUGAUAAUGAGGAUCAUGAACCCACGUUUAUUUAUGAGUGCACUCAACGAUCAGAUUGGAUCAAAUGGAAAGAAGCUAUAAACAUGGAGUUAAACUCUUUAAAGAAGAGAGAUGUCUUUGGACCAAUAGUCCGGACACCAUAUGAUGUUAAACCAGUCGGCUAUAAAUGGAUUCUCUGUACUUCCAUUUGCAUCCUGGUUAUAUAAACUAAAGUGUAAGUUUCUGAUAAUACAAAUAGGAAACUAAAGUAGGCAAAAUUAAUGAGAAGAGAGGAUAUACUCAUUCAUGUUGCGACUCAUCAUGCCAGAAGAAGAAGCUACGUUGCGCUGAAUAUCCAUGGCAGAAGCUACAUGGUAAAAUAUUUGUUGGUGAGAAAAAAUGGGCCAAAAAUAUAUAUAAACAGAAAUAUAAAAAAAAAAAUAUAUAUAUAUAUAUACACAUCUUACUAUUAUCUCUAGAACCCUAAUAUGAGAGAGAGGAAGAGAGGUCACCUCUUGAACCUUCCUUUGUGGAAUGAUCUCCGUACUCCUUGUGCGGCUGCUUUCCAAGCCUAAAUUUCUGCACCCAUAUAUUCAGAUGAUUAUUAAUAUUACUAUAGUAAUUAUAUACUAAAUGAAAAGAAAACAAAGACAAAGAGAAGAUAAAAAGAAAACCCUAAUUUAUAUAUUUGUGCCGUAGCAGUGUAUGUUGAUGAUUUAAAUAUCCUAGGAACCUCUGGAGAGAUCUCCCAAACAGUUGAAUAUCUUAAGAAAGAAUUCGAAAUGAAAGAUCUUGGAAAAACAAAGUUCUGUUUGGGAUUACAGCUUGAGUACAUUAAUGAUGGAAUCCUUGUGCAUCAAAUGGCAUAUACAUAAAAAGUACUCAAGAGAUUUAAUAUGGCCGAGUCUCACCCAUUAUCUAGCCCCAUGGUCGUGAGGUCCCUUGGCUUGGACACUGAUUCGUUCCGUCCUAAGAUGGACGAUGAAGAUGUCUUUGGUCCCGAAGUGCCAUAUCUCAGUGCCAUAGGAGCUUUGAUGUAUCUGGCUAGUCACACGACCAGAUAUAUGUUUUGCCGUGAAUCUAUUGUCUAGAUUUAGCUCUUGUCCAACCCAAAGGCACUGGAACGGGAUUAAACAUGUUCUUUGUUACCUGCAAGGAACGAAAGACUUGGGUUUAUUUUAUACUAACCAAAACAAAGACAUGCUAUGUUUUCACACAUGGUGGAACGGCCAUAUCAUGGCGUUCCAUGAAGCAAGCGAUCACGGCCACAUCUUCAAACCAUUCGGAGAUCUUGACCGUUCAUGAGGCCAGCCGCGAGUUGUUCAGAACAGGGGGGUAAUACGUGUUGUACUUUUUUUCCUUCACCAUGGUUUUGUCCUACUGGGUUUUCCUGGUAAGGUUUUAAUGAGGCAACAUCUAAAGUGUAUUACAAUCCCUGUAUGGUUAUGGCAUCCAAGGGGGAGUGUUAUAAAUCAUAUUGUGGAUGUUCAUAACCGGCCUGGUUCAUAACCGGCCCAAUGCGAGAGAGAGAGUCAGCCGUGAGGAGAGAGAGAGAGAGAGAGAUAAUCGGCAUCUUGCCUUUCUCUUGUUGGUUUAUGAUUUGUACUAUUUCCAUAUUUGUAUUUUCUUUCUUUAGUCUUUCCAUUAUUAAUCUUUCCAUUAUUCUGUGACAGUGUAAUUUCUUAUAUAAAGGAUUACAUAUGUUGUUCAAAAAAAAAAAAGAUUACAUAUGUUUAUGAAUAAGAACAUAAACAUAUAGAUUAUAUUCUCUUGUUUCACAACAAUCAUGGAAUUAUUUUCAAACAUCAAAAACAAACUACUAUCAAACAUAUAAUAGUAAAAAUAGUUCACCAACACGACAAAUAAAUUUUGGAUUACCAAAAAAAAAAAUCAUAGUACUGAACAAAUGAACAAGUACAUAAUAUCCUAAAUAUUAUAGCAAUAACAAUGAUUUAUAUAGUUUCAGUACAAAUUGAACACGAGCAAAAUUGAUCAAGUAAACAUAACAAUCUUUGUAUUUUUUUUUUCUGUUUGUCUCAUAUCUAAACCCUAAGUCAAGCUCAUAAUGAACAAAAUAUAUCUUGUUCUCACGUUCUCAUGCAUCACAUAUAUUAUGAUAAAUUAUUGUAUCACUCAAAUGGUGAGUUCCUUCCUUGUACUAACCCAGCAUUAGGGUUCAUCAUAGGGCUCAAUGGUGAUCUUCGAGGCAAUGACCUUUCCAAUAAUUUCCCACAAUCGUUUCCUUCAUCACCUGAUAAACCCGGUUUCCUAUCGUAAAUUUCUGACAAAGAAUCCAAAUCCGUGGAGACAUGUGUAGCCAUUUGUAUCUGAAUCCGAUGCUCAUCAUCGAUCGGUUCAUGAUCUUGAUUAGACCACAUUAAGAGUUCUUUCCUUAUAUCGUUACCAAAACUAGGGUUUGGUCGCUUCUUCCCCAAGUAAAUGUUGGUGUCUGCAGCAUUGUUGGCCGUGUAAUGAUUCUCUAUGUUCUGAUUAUGGAAGUUAUGAUGGUCGAGGACUUGAUCGGUUGUGUUUCCAUAGAUGUUUAGGUCCUGAAAUGGCGGGAAACUAAGAGGAUGUGGACCCAUAGCUGCGGAAAGACUCGAGCUUCCCAAAUUGCCCUUGAACCCUCCGCCGGAGGCGGCUGCCAUGUUCUCACCGGCUAGGGUUUGGCAAGCUCUCUCCAAUAUAGACUGCAUGUACUUUCCUUGUGCUUCAAUCCUCAACUGCAAAUGUCUCUGCACCUAAAAACAUUUAAAUGCAAUAUAUAUUUUAUAUAUAGAUCAAAAUUAUGUUUUAUAAGAGUUAAAUAUCAUAAAAUAUCAAUAAAUUAAUCACCUCCAGCUGUUCAUGCAACCUUCUCUGUACUUCCAUUUGCAUCCUGGUUAUAUAAACUAAAGUGUAAGUUUCUGAUAAUACAAAUAGGAAACUAAAGUAGGCAAAAUUAAUGAGAAGAGAGGAUAUACUCAUUCAUGUUGCGACUCAUCAUGCCAGAAGAAGAAGCUACGUUGCGCUGAAUAUCCAUGGCAGAAGCUACACGGUAAAUAUUUGUUGUUGAGAAAAAAUGGGCCAAAAACAUAUAUAAACAGAAAUAUAAAACAUAUAUAUAUAUACACAUUUUACUAUAAUCUCUAGAACCCUAAUAUGAGAGAGAGGAAGAGAGGUCACCUCUUGAACCUUCCUUUGUGGAAUGAUCUCCGUACUCCUUGUGCGGCUGCUUUCCAAGCCUAAAUUUCUGCACCCAUAUAUUCAGAUGAUUAUUAAUAUUACUAUAGUAAUUAUAUACUAAAUGAAAAGAAAACAAAGACAAAGAGAAGAUAAAAAGAAAACCCUAGUUUAUAUAUUUGUGCACAUACCUGAAGAUGGCUCUUAAGGUGGUAAAGAGUAAGACCCUUCACACCCAUAACUCUCAUAAUCGUCUUUGGUGUCGCUUCUGUAAAUUAAAAAAAACGAUUAAUAUUUGUUAAAAUUGAUCAAGUAACUAUAUAGAUUUAUGUGUGUGCAUACUGUCCGGGCCGCCGAGCUGAGCGACGGCAUCAACGAAACGCUCGUGGAGUUCGACGGUCCAACGCAAACGCGGUUUAGGGUCAGUGGUGAGGACGAGGCCUGAAUCGCCUUGAACGCACAUAGCUCUGUUCUCAUAUGAACCAUUCAUACUUGAAGGUUUCUUAGCAUGGAACAUUCUCUCUCUAUUACUCUCUUUUUUUCUCUCUCUCUCUAACAGAGGGAUUGGAUUCAAGGAAACGAAUGUGAUGCAAAAAUGUGAGAGAAUACGAUGCGUUUUUGAAGAGAUCAGAUGACGGCUUUUUGCUCUUUCUCUCGUCUUCUUUUUAUUUUGUUUGUGAAUUAAAUAAAUUCGAAUUUGGUUAUAAAUAUAAUAUUGUUUUAUCGUUACUACGUGAGGAUAAAGGUUGAGACUAGUACGCAGAUGUUCCUUUGUGAAAAGAUACUGUCGCUAUCUUUUCAAUUGUUUUGUUUAGACCUCCCAGCUUGAAUACCUUUGGAUUACUUUUAAUAUAAAAUGAAUGCUAUACGUAUACAUGAAGUAAUUCAUGUCUGUCUCAAAAUUACUUUACAUAUUAAUUAUACAAUAAGUUUAAAAUUAUAAGAAUCUGUAUACUCAAAAUAUAUUCAUAUAUUGAUUUUUUUUUUUUUGGAAAAGGUAAGUUUUAACAUGUGGGAGGAGAACCUAUACAAGUUAGCUAAAUACACACAUAAAAUAGGUUGUAUUUAGUAUAUAUAUGCACUGAUUCUUACGAUGUUAAAUAUGAGCUUUUCAAUUUCUCAUAUAAACGAUUAAAUCUUCUGAAAUAUAUAUCUUACAGUUCUAUAUAAUUUAAGGUAUUAAAUAUCUACUAGUAUUUAAUUAAAACCAUAUUUAUUACUUUUAAAUGAUUUUUUGCUCGAUUUGAAUUUAUAAAAGUAUUUAAGAAUUGUAAUAAAAUUUAAAAUAAUUUCGAAGAUAAUGAGAUGAAACGAGAAUAUAAACCUUUUUCAAAGGUGAAUAUAUUAAAGUUCUAUAUAUUCUUUUCAAUAAGACCGCACGAGGGAUAGUCGUAUAUUAGACUUAUAUAGCAUGUCUACAUCGUUAUACAUAUUGCAAUAUAUAAUCGGGACACAUACAAAUAUCAAAAGAAAAAAAUCUCACAAAACUGGAUUUAUCAUUUAUGGUAGGGUAAACCUUUUUGGCUAAUUAUGAGCUGAAUAUACAAUUCUAAGCAAUGAUGAGUUCGUUCUUAUAAACUAAUGGACCAAAUAUUUUGUAAGAAAAAAUUAUAAUAACAGCUACAAUCCAAAACCGAUAUUUGGUUUUUUUUUGUUAAUUAAAACAAAACGCUAUUAGAUUGAUUAAUUAAAAACCAUGGUUUACAUAUGAAAAAAAAUUAACCAAUAAGACACAUAUGUGUUUUUUGUCGACGACACAUACAUGUUUACAAACGUAGAAUAUUGAACUUCUACCACGGACGCUACAGCGUGGAAAUCAGCCUUGUUAUUAUUGAUUCCAUUUAGAAUCUACAAAACUACCUUGUUUACAAAAUGAUGAUGAAUUGUUUCUACAUACAAUACUAAUGUAUAUACGUAUAAACAUAGAUACAUAUACAUAUAUAUAUAUAUAUAUGCGCAUCUCUUUAGAUAAAGUUCAAUUGCAUUAAUCAUAACUCACAUAAUCAGCCCUUUAUUCAUAUAAUUUAUAUAUUUUUUUUUUUUAAUGAAUGGUCAUUUUAAACACAUGUGUGUUAAUUGAUCAACCUAAUAUAUAGCAAAUUUUCUAUCAUGUAUAUAUGAGUGGGAGGUCCCAAGGCAUGUUUAUAUAGAACAAGAAUAAGUCAAUGAAUAUGGUUGAGACUAAUAUGCACACAAAAGAGAGCAUAUGAUAUAAGAAUAUAAAAUUUGCACUAUGUUGAAUAAUGCCUUAAAUCUGUUGGCAUUAGUCUUUUGAGGUCCACUAGUGCUAGGGUUUUCCGGGACAUAACAAUAUAUAUAUUGUGUCUCCUCUAAACCUAGUUAGCAGCCGUAGAAAAACUAGAUCUGAUCUUCUUGUAGACAGAUCUCUGUAAUUCCUCCAUCAAUAAAAUCUCUCUUUGUCCGUAGACGUAGCCGUUAGGGGUGAACCAUGUUAAAUCUCGAUCGCUCGCUCUCUUCCUGAGGAUCGAUCGAUCUCGUGUUGUCUGUUGAAUAAUGCCUUGAAUCUGUUGGGCCUUAGUCUUUUGAGGCCCACUAGUGCUAGGGUUUUCCGGGACACAACUAUAUAUAUUUUGUGCCUCCUCUAAACCUAGUUAGCAGCCGUAGAGAAACUAGAUCUGAUCUUCUUGUAGACAGAUCUCUGUAAUUCCUCCAUCAAUAAAAUCUCUCUUUGCCCGUGGACGUAGCCGUUAGGGGUGAACCACGUUAAAUCUCGGUGUCUUUCUUUAUUGUUUAUCCAUCUGUUAAUCUCUAUCUUCUCACAUCCGUCACAACAAACUGGUAUCAGAGCUUCGGGUUGAAUCUGGUGAGAAGAUGUCUGGAAUGAAUAUGAAGAUCGACAAGUUUACUGGAAGGAACAGUUUCAGUCUCUGGCAAAUCAAGAUGAAGGCGUUGCUGAAGCAACAAGGUCUUUGGGCACCGUUGUAAGGGAAGAAGGUUGAAGUUGAACCUGUUACUACUGAGAUGGAGGUUACUGAAGAGAAGGCGUAUUCAACAAUUUUGUUGUGUCUGGCAGAUGAGAUCAUCAUCGAAGUUUCCGGUGUUGAUGCUGCAGCUGAUUUGUGGUCGAAGUUAGAGAGUCUAUACAUGAUGAAGUCUCUAACUAAGAAGCUACUUCUUAAACAACAUCUUUUCACUCUGAGGAUGCAAGAAGGUACACAACUCCAAGAUCAUCUUGACAGUCUAAAUUCCAUCUUGUUGGAUCUGAGGAACAUUGAUGUUAAGGUGGAAGAUGAGGAUGCGGCACUGAUUUUGUUGGUAUCACUACCAAACUCCUAUGAGACUUUGUUCAGUCAUUCAUAGGGAGUAAGGAUAUAGUGAGUUUGGAGGAAGUCAGGUCAGCACUUCAUAGCAGGGAGUUGCGACACAAUGCAUCUGGUUCUGAUACAGACGACCAAGCUUUUGGGUUGUUUGUAGGUGGUGGAAAGAACUCUGGAAAAGGCAAGAAGUCGAAAGACAAAAGGUCGUUUUCAAAGGAUCCUAAACCAACUGAUAUUU